AGAAAGUGUUCUUUCUCAGUUCCCAAUGCUUCAGCAGUUGUGCAUAAAAUAUCGUCGACAUUGAAAGCUUCAAAGACUUUUUACUACAAAAGCUAAAGGUUCUUCAAGGCUAAAUUCAAACGACCCAUCACUUAAAACAAAAUGUAAUCCCCCUCUUCUUGUAAUAAAAUUUGAGUGCUAAUUUCUUUGUAAAUACGGUAUGCUUGGGACAAACUUACGAUUUGCUUUCCGCUGUUGUUGGCAGGAACGUACAUCCUGGGAUAAUCAUGACACAACAAGCAAAAUGCGAGAACAUUCUCAAGAUCAGCAAGUUGAAGCUUCUUUCCAUUCUUAGUGAAGAAAGCGAGUGAAUGAAUCCAGAAAAAGAAUUUACAUUUCAAAGAAUUUAUGAAUUUUUGCAUACAUUGUAUUGUGUAAUUGAACCAAAAGCACUUAAAUUACAUAUCCAACAGAAACUCAAAAGAGUCAAACAAACACUUCACAAGACGAGUUGAGUGAGAAACUGGAUAAUGGAUGUUGUAAAUGUUCAAGAAGAAAAGCUUCACGAGCCAAUUACUUUCUUUGAUUUGCACUAGGUUCAGUUCCUGUUCAUUUUCCAGCCGGGAUAUUCUAGCAGGUGACUUCCAUAUUAGUAUUAAUGUAUCAAACACAAUACCAUUACUUUGUAACCAGCCAGUCAUUAAUUUGACUGGGUUUUAAUGAGUGUUGGACCUUGUUAAAGUAGUAUGCGUAGUCGUGGAUGAUGAAACCAUUGACCCCUCAUAUUUGGGAAGAAAUUCAAAGAAUGCACUUGAAAGUAUCUUUUGUGGUGAUUUUGCAAGUUCAUUUCUCAACAGCUGACCGGCAUUUGAACAAACUAUAUAAAUAAAACGCCUGAAAUACUUUGGUUCACUUAAUCGAGCAAGAAAAUAAUCUUCCGCAACAGGUGCAUAUCGAUUUAAAAACUUUGUAAUUGGAAGGCGGUAUGGACUAUUUAUUUCACUGUAUACUUGUCCAGGAGGAAGAGCUCAUUCCAAAUCAAUUGUCAUGGUUAUAAGUUCAUCGAGGAACUUAGAAGCAGUGGGAGGAAACAAGUGAAAAAGAUCAAUUAUAGCUACCGUAAUCUUUGGUUCUUCACCAGCCUCAAAACCACCAGUAGUGGAAUCAAUUACGAGAACAACACAAUCAACUUGUGAUGUUCCAGUAAUCAUGUUCUUAAUAAAAUCCCUGUGACCAGGAGCAUCAAUGACGGUACAGUAGUACUUAGUUAUUUCAAACUUCCACAAGGCAAUAUCAAUAGUGAUACCUCUUUCCCUUUCAGCCUUGAGCUUCUCAAGCACCCAAGCAUACUUGAAUGAACGCUUGUUCAUCUCAGCAACUUCUUUCUCAAAUCUCUCAAUCACACGCUUGUCAAUACCUCCAAGCUUGUAGAUCAAGUGACCGGUAAUAGUUGACUUCCCAGAGUCGACAUGGCCAAUAACCACAAUGUUAAUAUGAACCUUUUCCUUAGCCAUCCGUGCUUAAGCUUAAAAUUACACAAGGUCUUGAAGGAAAAAGCUAGCCGCACAGAAGGAAAUGAGGGGGAGCGAGUGAGCGAUUGGGAAAAGUUUUCAGGGCCAAAAUCAGGGUAUGACAGUUGCCCAUAUUUAAACAUCCUCCACCAGAGGAAAAUGAACUAGCACUUUUUCAUCGGAUCGCAGUGGGGGAUGGUUAAAUACCAUGGAGACCCAGAUUUUGAACCUGAAAAAUGAAAAUGCUAUGAUAUGAUAUGCAUGGAUGAAGGAUUCUUUAUUUUUGAAUUUAUCCGUUAGGGACAUGAUGGAUCCUUAACAGGAGAUGUUAAGCCAGACAAACCAAUCUGUGGGGAAUAUUGAUGGUCCACAGGGAGACAGUCAAAUAGGGUAAAACCAACUCGCUAGGGAUAACAAUCUUGCUGGAGAGUCAGACACACAACGGGGAGUACUCAAAGUGAAAUCUGACAAACGACCCUUAGAAUACAAGAUAUUUCGUUAGUGAGUUCACACAUGACUUAUUAACGACUCAAAAUAAGAAAAAUUUCUACAACAGGUUCAUACAUGACCUGAUAACAACUGAAAAAUCAAAGAAAAAGGUUCUUAAAAACAGAUUCAGACAUGAACUGGUAAUACUGGAACAAAAGGUUCAGCGACAGGUUCAUACAUGACCUGGCAAUGCUGGGGAAUAUCAAGAACGGUUCUGACAACAAGUUCAAACAUGACUUGACAAUAAAAUAGAAAAGCUUAAAAAGAGUAUAUCAACAGGUUCAUACAUGACCUGAUGACACUUGAAUAAUCAAGAGAAAUAUUCUUCAAAAUAGGUUCAGACAUGACCUGGUAAUAUUGGAAUAAAGGCUCAACAGCAGGUUCAUACAUGACCUACCAAUGCUGGGGAAUAUCAAGAAGUUCUGACAGCAGGUUCAGACAUGACCUAACAACAUCAGAAAAAUCAAAGAGAGUAUAUCAACAAGUUCACAAAUGACCUGAUGAUAACUUGAACUUUCUUGACAAAUCUGGAGAUUUCUUACAAGAAAAUCAUCCGAUCAAAAAUUCUAGAAAUUACUGUCAAUGAAAGAGUCAAAAUGACCACUUCCAGGAAGUUCCAGUUACACUGGUCUUCAAGGGUGCUGGUGACGACCAGACUUAAAGAUACCAUUUACAGAUGGAUUUGACAGAUGCUGGUGACAACCAGACUUUAAGAGGAUACCAGUUACAACUGGAUCAUACAGAUGCUGGUGACAACCAGACUUUAAAAGGAUACUAGUUACCACUGGAUUUCAAAAUGUGCGCCAGUUACAACUGGACUUAACAGACAAUGCCAAUAACAAUUGGACUUGCAAACAAGAAUGGUGAUAACCAUACUUAUCAUACCAUUUACAAAUGGGUUUAAGACAGUGCUGGUUACAACUCUGAUUGGGGAUACCAAUUACAAUUGGAUUUAAGAUAAGACACUGGUGACAACCAUGCUUUAAAGAGAUACAAGUUACAACUGGAUUUUAACAUUUGAGUGCCAGUUACGACUAGACUUAACAGGUGAUGCCAAUAACAAUUGGACUUGACAGAAAACGCUGGUGACAACCAGAUUUAAAGAGAUACCAGUUACAACUGGGUUUCAAAAGAUGCUGGUGACAACCAGUCUUAACAAACGACACUAGUAACAACCGGUGUUAGAGGUCAAGGGAUACACUCAACAACGAGACCUGAGAUUAUGCAAAUGAGCGCGAAGCACUUCGGGCUAUGUAUGAUUUGGAUUUUGCUUAUGUGCAUGAUAUAUGAAUGAUCACGAUAUGCAAAUGCUGACAAUAUACAGACUGGAAAUUAGGGAAAGCUCUAUGGAGGUACUGAAUCCUCAACACGAAUAACUCAACCGAAGGAGUGAGUGAAAAUGCAUCAAAGUAGGAUUUAUCAAGCUGAACAGUUACAACUGGUCCAGGGAAAAUGCUAAAUCCGCGUUCUCUGGAGCUAUAUGUUGAUCAUCCAAGGGAAGUCUUGCAACUUCAGACUUGCGGGGAAAGACGAAAGGUUUCCUUUUAAUAUUUCCACAUGUCAAAGCAAAAUUGUGUUUCUCAAUAUGUUGAAAAAUUCUUUUUGAGUUCAAAAUCCCAUUAUUAACAAAUAAUGACAUUUUGCAUAACAAAGAAAAUUAGAGAAAAACAGCAAAUGAUAGAAUUUGAUAGGCAAACUUGUAUUUAUUCAAGAAGGGUAGCACACAAAUGGUGUAGCUCCAUGGAUUGUUACAAAUUUGAAAAUGACAAUAGGGAAAGGUUUACAUCGAGUUGCAAUGACUAACUAUCCCUAAUAACAAUGACUCCACAAAACCUCGCUUCUGAAGGGAGCAAUUGAGUUAAUCUUCCAUCUUUAGCUCUUCUGUGUUGAUCAGUGACAAACUGAUGCAAUCUAUGCCUUUUGUCCCUAAUUUUUGCCUGGAUUGCCCUUUCGGGUUUUCAAUCCACCGGGACGCUCCUUUUUUCCCAAGCCGCCUUUUCAGGUUUUCAGCUUACGGAGCUACCAUUUUUUAUUAUCCCUAACUUUUGCCUGGACCGCCCUUUCGGGUUUUCAGCCCACCGGGUUUUGUUAGGCAUAGUAUCUUUUGACUGCAUCAGAGUUCACAGGGUGAAUGAGCUCUUCGCAAUCCAUAGUUGUGAGAAAUAGGGCACCUCCGGAGUAUGCUCUAUUUACAAUGUAUGGGCCUUCAUAAUUUGGAGUCCACUUCCCAUGUGAAUAUUUAUGUACUGGCAAGAUCUUCUUGAGCAUGAGAUCCCCUUCCUUGAACUCUCGAGGGCGAACCUUUUUGUCAAACGCCUUCUUAAUUCGUUGCUGGUACAAUUGUCCAAAGCACAAAGCGGUCAUACGCUUCUCAUCAAUGAGGUUAAGUUGAUCAUAGUUAUUCUGGAUCCAUUCAACUUCGUCUAGCUUGGCCUCCAUCAAUAUUCUCAUUGAAGGUAUCUCUACUUCGACUAGGAGAACUGCUUCCAUCCCAUACACUAAGGAGAAUGGGAUUGCCCCUGUUGAAGUGAGGACUGAUGUCCGGUAUCCAUGCAAAGCAAAGGGCAGCAUCUCGUGCCAAUCCUUAUAAGUUUUCACCAUCUUUUGCAGGAUCUUCUUGAUAUUUUUAUUUGGCGGCUUCAACAACACCGUUCAUCUUUGGACGAUAUGGAGAAGAAUUAUGGUGGUCAAUCUUGAAACUCUCACAUAAUUCUGUCAUUGUCUUGUUGUUCAAGUUUGGACUGUUGUCUGUAAUGACUUGUUUGGGAUUCUAUAGCGGCAAAUAAUCUCCUUCUUGAUGAAGUGAGCAACCACAUGUCUCGUCACAUUGGUGUAGGAAGCAACCUCCACCCAUUUAGUAAAGUAAUCAAUGGAAACCAGGAUGAAGCGGUGACCAUUGGAAGCCUCAGGCUCUAUAGCACCAAUCAUGUCGACGCCCCACAUUGAGAAAGGCCAAGGCGAUGCCAAAACAUUCAGUAGUAUUGGCGGUACAUGCACUUUGUCAGCAUAAAUUUGACAUAUAUGACAUUUUCUUGCAUAGCUGAAACAAUCGGACUCCAUGGUCAACCAAUAAUAGCCAGCUCUCAAAAUAUUCUUGGCCAUGGCAUGCCCAUUAGCAUGGGUUCCAAAGGAUCCUUCAUGAAUCUCCUUGAUCAACAUGUCUGCUUCGUGUCUAUCCACACAUUUGAGCAGAACCAUGUCAUGGUUUCUCUUGUAAAGCACAUCAUUGCUCAAAAAGAAUUUGGACGAUAACCUCCUCAGAGUUUUCUUAUCCAACAACGUAGCAUCUUCUGGAUACUCUUGACUUAAAAGAUAUCGAUUGAUAUCAUGAAACCAAGGUUUACCAUCGGUUUCCUCUUCAAUCGAUUGACAGUAUGCAGACUCAUCUCUUCGCUCGAUUCGAAUAAGUGGGGCUUCAUUACGGAAUCUGACUUGGUACAUUGAUGCUAAUGUUGCCAAAGCGUCAGCCACUUGAUUUUCUACUCUUGGGAUGUGAUGGAAAGUGAUAUCAUCAAACUAUUCUAUCAUCUUUACAACAUGAGCACGAUAUGGGAUCAACUUCGCAUCACGAGUUUCCCAUUCUCCUUUGACUUGAUAGAUCACCAAGGCUGAAUCUCCAUACACCUCAAGGAUCUUGAUUCGAAGAUCAAUUGCAACUUCAAGACCAAGGAUACAAGCUUCAUACUCUGCGACAUUAUUCGUACAAUCAAAGCACAACCUUGCUGUGAAAGGGGUAAAACCACCAUUUGGAUUCAUCAAAACCGCUCCCACACCAUGACCACUGUAAUUGGAGGACCCAUCAAAUGCGAGCUUCCAUCGAGAUCCUGGUUCUGGUCCUUCAUCUGGGCCUAUGACCUCACAAUCCUUUAUCACCAUUAUAUCCUCAUCGGGGAAAUCAAACUUCAAUGGCUAAUAGUCUUUAACUGGUUGGUGAGCAAGAUACUCUACUAAAACACUUCCCUUAAUUGCCUUCUGGGUUAUGCACUGGAUGUCGUACUCUGACAAGAGCAUUUUCCAACGGGCAAGUCUUCUAGUCAAGGCAGGUUUCUCAAAGAUGUACUUUAUCGGGUCCAUCUUCGAGAUCAACAAAGUAGUAUGGCAAAUCAUGUACUGCCUCAAAUGACGAGCGGCCCAUGCUAGCGCGCAACAAGUCUUUUCCAAAAGUGAAUAUCGACUUUCACAAUCAGUAAACUUUUUACUCAGAUAGUAAAUAGCAUGUUCUAUCCGACCAAUUUCGUCAUGUUGCCCCAACACGCAUCCCAUUGACCCUUCAAGCACAGUCAUAUACAUGAUUAAUGGCUUUCCUAGGACAGGUGGAAUCAAAAUAGGAGGCUCUUGCAAGUAUUGACGAAUCUUCUCAAAAUCACUUUGACAAUCAGAAUUCCAUUCAAUGACUUGAUCUUUUUGAAGCAAGUGUGAGAUAGGAGGCUCGUGGUCGUCAUGUGUGAGAUAAACCUGGAGAUGUAAUUCAAACGUCCAAGGAAACCUCUAACUUCUCGCUCGGUGCGUGGAGCAGGCAUUUCUUGUAUAGCUCGGACUUUGUCAGGGUCAACCUCAAUUCCUCGUUGACUAACGAUGAAACCAAGCAACUUCCCUGAGCGCACACCAAAUGUGCAUUUUGCAGGGUUUAAUCGUAAUCUAAACUUUCUGAGGCGUUCAAAUAGCUUCUUCAGAUGGUUCAUAUGAUCUUUUUCAUUCUGAGAUUUAGCGAUCAUGUCGUCAACAUAGACCUCUAUCUCCUUGUGCAUCAUAUCAUGGAAAAGAGUGACCAUAACUCUUUGGUAAGUUGCCCCGACAUUUUUGAGACCGAAAGGCAUUACCUUGUAGCAAAACUUGCCCCAAGGGGUAAUAAAAGUGGUCUUCUCCAUGUCAUCUGGAGCCAUCUUGAUUUGAUUGUAUCCCGAAAAACCAUCCAUAAAGGAGAAUAUAGCAAAACUUGCAGUGUUGUCUACUAGAGUAUCAACGUGUGGUAGAGGGAAAUCGUCCUUUGGACUAGCUUUGUUCAUAUCCCUAUAGUCAACACACAUCCUCACCUUUCCAUCCUUUUUAGGCACAGGUACAAUAUUAGCUACCCAUUGUGGGUACUUCGCCACUGCGAGAAAACCAACAUCAAAUUGUCGUUUGACUUCUUCACGAAUCUUCAGAGCCAUAUCUGGUCUUAUUCUUUGGAGUUUCUGCUUUACUGGCGGGCAUUCUGGCUGAAGCGGAAGCUUGUGCUCAACGAUGUCAGUGUCUAGACCUGGCAUAUCCUGGUAUGACCAUGCAAAUACAUCCACAUAUUCUUGUAGCAGCUUAACCAAUCUCUCUUUGACGCUUGCUUCAAGUGUGGUGUCGAUUUUGACUUCUUUCUUCUCUUCCUCUGUGCCAAGGUUGAUUGUCUCCACCGGUUCUUCAUGUGGCUGAAGGGCUUUGGACUCGUGCUCGAGCAGCCUUGCCAAUUCGUCGGGGAUGUAACAAUUUUCUUCACCCUCUUCUUCCACUUGGUAGAUAGGGGAGUCAAAGUUAUGAGAGGGAGUAAAGUCAUUGGAUUCAACGGGGUUAUCAUUUAUUCUGCAUGUUUGAAUGAUUGAUUUCUUUUAGAAAGUAAAAUGAAAGAUGCAUAAAUAAAAGUCUUUAUUUUGAAAAGAUUGCCAGUUUCUUAAGAGAAAGCCAAGUAAAUGAAUAAUAAGAAUUUAAAAAAUGUUAUUCAUUCAUUGAUAAUGAUUAUUUGAAAAUGAAAAGGGGCCCUACACUGUCCAUUAGCCUUGGGCAGAGCUAAGGAUUUGAAAGGAAAAAUACAACAAUUAUUACUUUGACAAAGGAAAAAUUUCGGGGAUCUCAACCGCCUUCCAGUUGUUCAAAGUUGUCUCACACUGGUAAACCAAACAUGGCUCAUCUUCAUUUUCGGUGCCAUCUCCAAUUGCAUUGACCUGAACUCCAUGGAUGAAUCCUGUGCUAAGGAAUACUUCCUGGAUGCUUCGGGUGUUGUCCUUUGUAGGGACUCAGGCUCCUUUCGCAGCGGAAGGCACAUAUCCCAGACCAAAGCGAUCAUGCUUCUCACGAAUAUCAAUAAGCUGACCCCAACCUUCAGGGUUUCCUCCUUCAAUGCUAGACUUUGCGCUUUUCAGAGAAGCGAAAUAUGAACAAGCUUUCCCAACUGGGUCCUUCAUCUCCACAAAAGUGGCAUUGGCUAUUUCAAGAGCUUGGAAAGGAGUUUCCAAAGCGUCCUCAUCAGCCUCGAUAUAUCUGAAGGAUGAAAGAUGACUAACCACAAAGUCCUCCUCCCCGGAGAUAAUAAUCAGUUGAUUGUCCACAACAAACUUCAUUUUUUGGUGUAAAGUGGAGGUAACUGCCCUUGCAGCAUGAAUCCAAGGACGUCCCAGCAAGCAGCUAUACGCUGGAUUAAUAUCCAUGACUUGGAAAUUAAUCGGGAAUACGUGAGGGCCAAUCAAUAUGGGCAAUUCAACCUCUCCAAUCACGGUUCUCCUGGAACCAUCAAUCGUCCCAGCAAGCAGCUAUACGCUGGAUUAAUAUCCAUGACUUGGAAAUUAAUCGGGAAUACGUGAGGGCCAAUCAAUAUGGGCAAUUCAACCUCUCCAAUCACGGUUCUCCUGGAACCAUCAAAAGUUUUCACUACCAAGGCACUAGGUUUCAUAGCUGGUCCUUGAUAAGAUAACUUGGCGAGUGUUCUCUUUGGCAUAACAUUUAGAGAAGAUCCGAUAUCAAUCAAGUCUCUUACCAAAGCAUCAUCUUUGCAUUUUAUUGAGAUAUGGAGAGCACGAUUGUGAUUUUGUCCAUCCUCAGGUAAUUCCUCUCCACUAAAGCUUAAAGUAUUGCAAGCUGUGAUAUUUGCAACUACUCCAUCAAAUUGGUCUACUGUUAUGCUUUGCGUUACAUGAGCUUGGGCAAGCACCUUAAAAAAAGCCUCCCUAUGGGCUUGGGAGUUCAAUAACAGAGACAUAAUAGAGAUCUUAGAUGGUGUUUGAUGCAACUGGUCCACAACCUUGUAGUCAUUUCUCUCGAUCAACUUCAAGAAUUCAACAGCACCUUCGGAUUGGACCGCUUUGGGUUCUUUAGUGGGAGUUGCAACUGUUGAUUCCUUGUUUUGCCCUUGAGGAGUCACAUUGAAUUCAGGCGUAUAGAUUCGACCACUACGGGUCAUUCUGCUCAUCCCUGCAAUAUUGGUGACGUCUUCACUUACAACUUCUAUCACUUUAGCGUCUGCACUUCCUUCAACUACCUUGUCCAGCGGUAAUCUCAUAUUUCCAAGGCACAACCUUGGUGCUCUCGUAUGGAAAAGGCGUGGGCAUACAUAUCUCAAUAGGCGACAAUUUACUAUUCUCCGAAACCACUCCACCAUUGUAAUAUGGGAUUUCAACUGGUUCAGGUAAAUUGAAACAAGGUUCAAUUACCAACACGUCUUUGUUCUUUGCAACACUAGAUAUCUGAAGCACUCCUUUAUUCAUCAAGUUUUGGAUAUUAUCUCGUACCAUCUGACACCCUCUUGGGUGUGUGGCACACUCUUCACAGUUGUCAUGGCGAACAUUAAUCAGGCCAACUUCCACCAGUCGGGCAUGGAACACUGCCAAAGGAGUCUUGACAUCUUCCACCUUCUCAACCAUAACACCAACAGAGGCAUCUUCAAUGGCAUUUACUGUAGGAUCUCCAUGGGGAGGAAGAGGAUUGUUCUUCACAUUCGGUCCCAUAUCCUUAAAAGACAGGAUCUUACUUUCAAUCAGUUCACGAACCCUAUGCUUCAGAGCGUAACAACCCUCUAGGUCAUUACCGAGGGCACCUUCAUGAAAAGGACAGUGUGCAUUAGGGUUGUACCAUGGAGGAAGACAAUCAGGUGGAGGUCCCAUAGGUAUGGGAACCACCAAACCCUUUUGCAACAGGGAGGGAUAAAGCUCAGUGUACGUCAUUGGGAUUGGAUUGAAGGUCGCCCUAUCCCCUUGCUUCCUAUUCUGGUUUUGAGCAUUUUGCCUCAGAGCUUGAGCUCUCGGCUGUUGAUAGACAGGAGCUGCUGGUGCUUGUUGGUAAGCUAGAGGAGCCGCAACACGUUGUUGAACUGGAGUCGGUCGAUAGGCUGGAGGCGCUUGAUAAGCCUGAGCAGGUUGUUGAUUGAAUGCGGGCGUCACAGCAGCUAUGUACGGCUGCGGGGUGUACUGUACGGGAUAUAGGGGCUGCUGAUAUGGAAAGGGUUGUUGGACAUAUUGCUGAGGUGAAUAUUGUUGUGGUCUCCUUCUUGGAGGAGCUCUUCCUUGGCCAACGGUCACAACAUUUGUUUCCCCUUCCUUCUUUCUGGGAAACCCUCUAGAGAACUUCUUUGGAUUAGCAUUUGAAGUUCCAGCUACAGCCGCCAGUUUGCCAUUUCUUACACCAUAUUCAAUGCGAGCUCCUAUAGCCACAAGCUCGGAUAAUCCCAAGGAAGCACUUCAAACCAUCUUCUCAUAGAAUUGGGGUUGGACAAUGUCAAUAAACAGUUCAGCCAAUUCCUUCUCAGCUAGAGGUGGUUCAACUUGAGAAUCCAUCUCCCUCCAUCUCUGAGCAUAUUCCUUGAAGGACUCCUUGUCAUGCUGGAACAUGCUUUGCAACUGUCUUCUGUCAGGCGCCAUGUCCAUGUUGUAUUUGUAGUGUUUUAUGAACGCGUCUGACAGGUCUUGGAAACACCUGAUCCUAUUUUGAUCCAGACUUAGAUACCAUUUGGAAGGAGCCCCACUCAAGCUAUCUUGAAAAUAGUGGAUCAUCAGCUUGCCAUCUUCCACGUGUGCAGCCAUUUUUCGGUAAUACAUGAUGAGAUGGCUCUUUGGACAAGUAUGCCCCUUGUAUUUGUCGAAGUCUGGAGUUUUGAAUUUGGCCGGAAUCACCAACCCAGAUACAAGGCACAUUUCUUUGGCAGUAGAUCCAAAGACGUGGUCUCAUUCUAAAUCUCGGAACUUCUUCUCAAGGAGCUACAUGUUCUCCUUUACUUCUCUGAAAUCCUCAAACCUUACUUCGUCAUCAGCAACUGUUGAGUCGACAGUCUGAUACAUGUGAUGUUAAUCUUCAUAGUGAGGAAUAUGCCUAGCAUAGGCAGCUGGUGGAACAACAGUAUGGAUGACUGGACGUGCGUCGGUGUAAACCGGUAAUGCCACGGCUUGUUGGACAAAUUUCCCCAUGUCGUGCAUUACUUCCGCUCGGGGGACGAAGUCAUAAGAUAACCCAUAUGGAGGAAGGGUUGAGGGUAACGUCCUCUGAGGUUGUACUUCCACUGCUGGGCCCGUGGUCUCUGAAAUCAUGGUCGCUUGCGGAACCUCAAACCUGAAUGCUAAAGCUUGCAGCAUCUCUUUCAUCUGGGACAUGCCUCCCUUAAUUUCGUCUAGUUCAGCUCUAACUCGGGCGCUCUCUAGCUCUUGUUCAGCCAUUCUUUGUCUUGCUCGGGUGCGAGUAUUGUACUGGUGUUGAAAAUUCAGCGUGAAACUGGAGGAAGAAAGGGCGGAGUGAGACUCUAUUUUGAAAAUGUAUGAAUGCAUCUAUGAAUGCAUCUUGUUUGCAAAACUCUUGGUUAGUUUCAAUCAUUCAUUUCAGAAAUGCCGUAACAUUUUGCAAGUAUUUAAAGCAAUAAAAACACAAUAAAAUGAAUCCCAAAAGCAAUUUUUCAUUAAUCCCAUAGCAAAGUUCAAAUACAAAUAACAUGCUUAUGGCUUAUGGGCUUUCCGAACCGUGGCAAGGUCGGUAGUCAGCCCUUCUAGCACCGCCUUACAAAAUUUAAUGAAAUUAAAGACUUAAUGCGGGGUGUUCUCUGGACACAUGCACCAAUCAGCUUCUUGCAAUUUUUCAGGUAGCUCUUGCAUGACGGAAUUCACAAAUCUGGACAGCCUCAUAAAUUUGCCCUUCCACUCAGUGUAAAGCCCUUGGAGGUCUUGAAUGAUGCGCAAGUCUUCAGCCUUGGUCACCUCUAUGUCCCUAUAGAGGUUUCUCCAAUAUCUUCACUCACCUAGCAACAUCAUAUAGGCAACAUCCUGAUCCCCACCUUCAAGUACCUGGAUGCUAGCAUCGGCUUGUUCCAACUGAUAUUUCAGCCGUGUGCAAACUCUUUCUGACUCUUCAGUCCUUAGCUUCUCGCGUUCCAUAGUAUCCUUGUAUUUUUGAACGGUAUUCUCCAGUUCACGAGUACGAAUCUCAGAAAUCAGUCGUACUUUCUUUUUCAUUUCAAGGGUCAAUUCCAGAGUCUUGUUGAGUUUUUGAAUCCGGAGUAAAGCUCUAUCCAACUCCUCCUCCUUUGACUUGAACACAUAUUUAGUGUUGUAGAGCGCUUGUCCGAACUUUUCUCUCCUUGCCUCAGACUCCCUAGCUCUUUUGUUGGAGAUUUCAAGCUCUUUGUCCUUCUUCUGUUGACCAUCUUUCAAAUUCCCAUUCUCUAUCGAGACUCGGCCGAGCUUAAUCCUCAAGUCGGCAUUCUCCAACUCCAACUCCUUAAUACGGGCAUUGAGUUUCUCCAUAUCUUCAGGUAAUAUGGGUUCUGGCUCAGGAACCAAUGGAUAGAUAGAAGGAUCAAAUGGAAAAAGUAGUUUAACCAUCUGAACCAUCUCUCUAACCCAACAAGUAUAAGGCUCUUGAGCGAUGACAUUUCUCUUACCCAACUCCUUACCCUUUCUGAUAACUGCUUGCCAAGACCUCUUGAUCUUUUUCACCAUGGGAUGAUCUGCUUCAGCUUUUCUGAUAACUGCUUGCCAAGACCUCUUGAUCUUUUUCACCAUGGGAUGAUCUGCUUCAGCACUGUGUAAGAUGAAAGGCUCUAAAGCUUCAGCUUUUGGAGGGCCAUUCAUAGGGUAACCAUGCUGCCUCAGAGAUAACACGAGGUUAUAGUUGAUGUAACCCUUGGUUCCUAUCAAAGGUACAUUGAGGAAGUCUCCAAUGCUGACAAUAACAUCCUCGGUUUCCCAGUCCCUGAUAUACCACUUAACAUGAUUGGAGGUGAGGGAAGCUAACUUCUGGGAGGGCUUGAGUUCCUUUGAGACAAAAGGGCCUUCUUCGGGCAUAUGAGAUCUAAACCAGGCAUACAACAACUGCGCACGACAUAAGAUGGUUCCUCCCUUCUUCUCAUGACGAUCGUGGAGAGCGUAGUGGAUGUCUGCCAAGAGGAACGAUACAGGAUUACCAGAGAGGAAGAUUCUCACUGCCAGGUGGUCAACAAAAUGGUCAAUAUUUGGGAAGAGAACUAUCCCAUAUACCAACACGGCUAACACAUCAUAAAAGGCUUCCCAAUUCCCUUCUUUUUCCAUCUUCUUAGCUUGAUCUUCCAAGAACUUCCUAGAAAAACCAUUGAAAGCUCCCUUCACAUCCCAAUUGUCCACGUCUUCAGAAACUUUCAGACCCAAAGCUAAAGCUAUCCUCUUGGGAGGAAUAUCUUCAUCGAACUUAGGAAAUGGAUUAUGAUCCUUCAGAUUCCGGCCUACAAUCCUCUCAAACUCCUCCAAGGUAGGAGCCAAUUGGAAGUCAGAAAACGUGAAACAACGUAGAGGUGGAUCAUAGAAUUGAGCAAUAGUCACAGUGGUCAUCAUGUCCAUCUUCUCAUUUAGGAUGUCCAUAAUUCUUUCAUAGUUUUGCACAAAGCUGUUGAGUUUGAUUGGUGUUACUUUGGCACUCAACUUUUGCAGGUCGGUAAGGUCCACAUUUUUGUAUUUGAACUGAAAAGUGCUUCUUCUCCCAGGAUUCAUUUUGCUAACAAGUCUUGGAUUCCUGAAACAAUGCGAAACAAACUAAGAGUUUUGCUUUUUAUGCGUAUGCAAUGAAUGGAUGGAUGCAAUGUUUUUUGGUACAGGUUCAAAGGUCCGAGGUAUGGAUAAAUCUGUUUGCUUUCCAAAACGGGGUUCUCACCGGGUGUGAUCUAGGGAUUUGUUAUAAAGGAUCCCCAGAGUCAUCAAUUCACAAGAAUGCUUGACGCUUACGAAAAAUACUUUUCGAUCGUCAACUCCAUCAAGGGAAUAUAUUCUGAGCGAGGUUCUCGUACAUAAUCCUACGAAGUAUUCACCUCGAGAGUCCGUACUACGCAACCAUCAACUUGGUUCUAGACAGGGUACUCAGAGUCAUGGAUUCAAAAGAAUGUUUGAUGCUUAUGGAAAAUAAUUUCUGAUCGUCAACUCCAUCUAGAGAAUCUAUUCUGAGCGAGGUUCUCGUAUCGAUUCUUCCGAAGUAUUCACCUCGGGAAUCCAUACUACGCAACCAUCAUUUCUAGUUGGCCAAAGGUUCAAUGUUCUAAAAGGUUCUUAGAGUCAUGGACCCCUUUGAAACAUUGAAGCUUACGAGGUAUACACCUCGGGCGAAAUAUUUGCAAAAGGAUCUACUCUAAGUGAGGUUCUCGUACCGACUCUUACGAAGUAUUCACUCGGGAGUCUACUACUCAACCAUCGUCCUAUCUUAUGUUUUUUCACUCUAGACUCGGGUGUAGAGUCUUUCCCACAUGGUUUGCAAUCAAAUAUCCAAGUACCCAACACAGUGGAACCAAUAUACAACAAAUAUAUCAAUGUAAGAAUAAAGAUAAUAAAAUCAAUAAAUAAGGAAAAGCCACACAAUUAAAUAAACAAAGGCACACAAAUGUCCUAACUAGGCUUGAAUCACUUAGGGAAUGGCAAUUCCCCAGCAGAGUCGCCAUCUGUCGCACCUCGGAAAAUGGAGAUACGACCUAGCAAAGCGCAAUCGCACGCUCGCAAUGAUGGACUGAACAGAGUCGCCGCCGAACUUUAUUUAUUCCUAAAAGGGAAGGGGAAAUAUCGAUAAAACCCAAGAAAGAACGACUAUGAUUAUGGUCGUCGCGACUAAAUCAGGGUUCGGGAGUCGAUUACGCAAGGGGAAGGUAUUAGCACCCCUCACGUCCGUUGUACUCAACGGGAACCGUUAGGUUAGUUAUGCGUAUUAGUGUUAGUUUGAAAUGUUAGGCUUAUCAAGUUAUUAGGUGGGAAAGAAAGAAUAUAAGAGAGGAGAUUGUUUUUGGAUUUUUGUCGAAGGACUAAACCUAAGUUUUUUUAUUAGUGAGCCUGACAAGAUUUACAAAUCCUGCUCCUACGUAUCUCAAUAGAGAAGUCAAGGCUUACGUAGUUCUGGGUAGAAAAAUGUUUGUUUGGUGGCUAAUUUUAGCGAAAGCUACUUUGUGUCAAAUCGAUGAAAACAUUGUUGGACUACCCAAAACAGGUGGAGAAACAUUGCCUUGCAUUGUUUUGAAACAAAGUACCUUUCGUUUGUGAAAAGGUUUAAGAGUCAAUCGCAUGGAGGCGAGAAAAGAAAUUGAUUGGUUUGAUGUGUUUUGAAUAACUGAGAGAACUUGGAUGAGCGAGAUAUCCAUCUCGAAUCCUAGUCUCAGGAGUGUGUGGUAUCCACCACGUUCCAUUUCCAUCUUACUGGCAAAAGUGUUUAAUAAAAAUUAAGUGUUUUGAAUUUGAUUGAGAAAGGGUUUGAAGAAACCGCAUUGACAAUUUUGGAUGAUGGAGAGAGCUAAGAUAGGCGAGGCAUCCACCUCAAAUCUUUAUCUCAGGAGUGCACGAUAUCCACCAUAUUCCAUUUCCAUCUUUAUUGGAAAAGUGUUAAAUAGGAGUUAAAUGUUUUGGGUUUUAUUAUGUAAAUGGCUCGAUGUUGGAUCAAGCAUUUGAUGAGCGAUUGAGAAAGAUUUGAAUGGGUGUUUGAGAGAAACAGAAUAGAUAGAUUUGGAUGAUGGCGAGAGCUAAGAUAGGCGAGACAUCCACCUCGAAUCUUAAUCUCAGGAGUGCAUGGUAUCCACCAUGUUCCACUUCCAUCUUUAUUGAAAAGGUCUUUAAAUAUGAAUUAAGUUUUUUGAGUUUUUAUUAUGAAAAAUGGCUUGACGUUGGAUCAAGCAUUUGAUGAAUGUUUGAAAGAAAUGGAAUAGAAUGGGAGGGAGGAAUGAAUUGAUUUGUUUAUUUAGAAAAUACUCGAUGUUGGAUCGAGUCAUUAUUUUUGAUCUUUUGGAAAUGGUUGAUUUUAUUCUUGUGUUAGUAGCUAACUAAGUAGUCAAGCAAAUAAAGAAAUAGAAAGUGAUAAAGUUAUUACAUGCCAUGGGAGUGGGGGUACAUUUUAUCGAAUGGGGAUUCAAAGUAAUGAAAUAAUUAAAUCGGGCCCAAACAACAAGCAAUGCGAUGUAUGAGUGUAAGUGCAAGAGAACUGUCUCAUUGUAAGAAGGCCCAAUAGUAAGCCAUGUGAAGAAAGCAACAAAUACAAAAUUAUAUUUACAAGAUAAUCAAAAAUUAAAUCAAAAGGAGUAAAAUCGGGAUUUGCACGGAUGGAAAUUGAGGGACACACAAUCUAAAUAAUGUGCUCAAAGUCGGUUUGCACAUAUUAACAACAAACGAAAUGUCAUAUGUGAUUAAUCAAAACGCGGCGAAAUACCAUCAAUGUAUCGAUAAAAAUAAUCAUGGAUAAAUAACACGGGAAUUGCCAAAUCCAUAGAUUAAAAAUCGACAUUUAAGCAAUAAAAUAAAAUAAGGACAAACAUUAAUAUCAAAAAGUGUCGGAAAAACGGGAAUGAAACAUAGGCGAGGCAUCCACCUCGAAUCUUAAUCUCAGGAGUGCACGGUAUCCACCAUGUUCCACUUCCAUCUUUAUUGAAAAGGUAUUUAAAUAUGAAUUAAGUUUUUUGAUUUUUUUAUUAUGAAAAAUGGCUUGACGUUGGAUCAAGCAUUUGAUGAAUGUUUGAAAGAAAUGGAAUAGAAUGGGAGGGAGAAAUGGAUUAAUUUGUUUAUUGAGAAAAUACUCGACGUUGGAUCGAGUCAUUAUUUUUGAUCUUUUGGAAAUGGUUGAUUUUAUUCUUGUGUUAUUAGCUAACUAAACAGUCAAGCAAAUAAAGAAAUAAAAAGCGGUAAAAUUAUUACAUGUCAUGGGAGUGGGGGUACAUUUUGUCGAAUGGGGAUUCAAAGUAAUGAAAUAAUUAAAUCGGGCCCAAACAACAAGCAAUGCGAUGUAUGAGUGUAAGUGCAAGAGAACUGUCUCAUUGUAAGAAGGCCCAAGAGUAAGCCAUGUGAAGAAAGCAACAAAUACAAAAUUAUAUUUACAAGAUAACCAAAAAUUAAAUCAAAAGGAGUAAAAUCAGGAUUUGCGCGGAUGGAAAUUGAGGGACACACAACCUAAAUAAUGUGCUCAAAGCCGGUUUGCACAUAUUAACAACAAUCGAAAUGUCAUAUGUGAUUAAUCAAAACACGGCGAAAUACCAUCAAUGUAUCGAUAAAAAUAAUCAUGGAUAAAUAACACGGGAAUUGCCAAAUCCAUAGAUUAAAAAUCGACAUUUAAGCAAUAAAAUAAAUCAAGGACAAACAUUAAUAUCAAAAGUGUCGUAAAAACGGGAAUGAAACAUAAAAAUAUUAAAAGAGAAACUAAUAAUUAAAAAUAAUAAAAUAAUGAAAUAAAUGGAAAAUGGCAUGCACAAGGAUCAAACCCAACACAUAAGGGGAGAUGAGACUCCUUCCUCUCCACCGGGCUACAGGCAGUCAGCUGUUACCUUAACAGCGACUCAAAUAUAAAAACAACGAAAUCAAAAAAAAUUAUAAUAAUAAAAAAUAAAGAAACUAAAAGGGCAUGGGCCGUUUGAGCAAAUGGGAAACUAAAGCCCACGAAUCUUAAUCUUAGACUCGGGUCAGUGGAGGCCCAAAUCAAAUGUCUUGCCCAAGCGUGGAAAUGAUGAAGGAAGUCGAACCGUCAGCCCUAGCCGCAAGGUUGUUGGGCGCGGAUAACGGAGGAAGUGAGCCACUCUCAUUGAUGGCUAGUUGGCAACAUUUAAUGGGAAAACGGUGGGAUUGGAAAACCCAAAAGCCAACGGGUAAAGAGAAACGCAACACAGAUAUCAAAUUCCAAAAGAAAACUUUAAAGACUCAAAUCAUGGCAAACUUGGGAUAAUCAAAAUGCGAUGAAAUUAAAAACUCAGUCUUCCUCCCUCAAGAGAAAUCCGAACGAGAUCUUCACCAAGGUGCAAGAACUUUCCGCUUCCUCUCAAAAUUCUAUGGCUAUGAAUGGACACCACAAAGUUAAACAGAAAUUGGAAGCUAACACUAACCGAUUGCGACGGGGUCGACGACGAUGUGAAGAGCGAUUUUUUGGAUUCCCCUUCAGAACGUUAGCUAUUCUAACAACUCAACUUCGACUUGUAUGAAUCCUCUGGCAGCGUUCCAAUGAAUCCUUCGUGCUUUCUCUGAGGAAAGGUACAUAUUCUAGCUUAUCUCCUUCGUCUCUUUCUCUGAUUUCGUUAGGGCUUUGAUGUACUCGCCUUCUCGCCGUCAAAAGUUCUUAGGGUUUUUUCUUUUUGAACAGUAGCCACAAAAUUCUAGGGUUUUUUCUCUUGAUUUCUAAACCCUCUUAUAUAUGGCUAAUCUCCUUUUUUCUCUUUGCUGUGUUCCUUCAGAGUAGUGGAGCCUGUUCGUACGGAGGAUGGUUGGAGAUUUUUGUCCUCAUCCCAGCUUGUGACCCCUCUUCUCAACUCCUCGUUUUACCCUUUUACUGCUUGGUAAGAAUUUAAAUACUGCUUGUGAAUUGAGGUAGAGUCAUAAACUGCCUUACUGAUGAUAAUUCCUCUUACCCUGAACAACUGUCAUGCAAUUGAUAUCGUGACCAUGAACCUGAGGGCAGGAGAUCUCAUACAAAAGUUUUCCAUUUUUGUGAGGAGCUUCCGCUUUCCACGGUGCAUAAAUUCUAGUUGUCCGGUCAUGGUUGGAUGAUAUAAUAUAAUCACCGGAUCUACCACACGCUAUAUCAGUCCCCGAUGCAAAAUGAACAGAGGGAACCUUUUGUAAAAACCAGUUGUCAUCACCAACAUUCAAGUGAAAAAGUGUUUGUUUCUCUUCUCCUUAUUACUGAUAACAUGACCCUGCUUAGUUUCAGUUUGGAUUAAAAGCAAACUAACAUCUUUCCAGAAUAUUCUCAUAAAUCAUGACAACCUGAUGGUUUGAUUGAGAUUCCCAUGUUAUUUGCUUCCUUCUUAUAUUCUAAGAUUUAAUGUGUUUGGUGGUUUGAACUGAACUGUUAUUGCAGGAGAAAAUCGCGCCGUGUUGAGUUCUAACUGAGGUCUGUAAGCGCAAUGUCUCCUUGGCAGCAAGAGCAUUGUAUCCGCUUCUCCGGCUGCUUGAUAAAUAUCAUACCCCAAAAUUCACCCAACUCCGAUACAACUUUCAUCUGAUCUAUGGCCCUACCGCACAUGCAUGCUUUCAUUAUUUCAUCAUCAUAAUUUCAUUGAACAUUCAUAACCAAAGACAUAUUGCAUGAGCUCAAGGCAUGGAUUUAAUUUUUUUUUAAUAAAUAAAAAAAAUCAGGUAAAUCGAUUUACCCAAUUAGGUAAAUCGAUUUACCCUGCGCAGACACCAAAAAUAAGCCUUUUCUUUGCACAAAGGGUAUUUGGUUCCCCCCACUUUCCCACUUGUUUUCCCUAUAAAUAGAUGCAAUAUUCCCCUUCAUUUUUCAUGCUUUCUAUCCCCCAAAAAUUUUGAAAAAAUAUCAUUCAACCCCUCUUCUCCAAACCUAAAUCAAAACCCAAAAAAACCUUUCCCUCCCAAAAGUCACCACUACCAACUUUUUUCCCAUUUCACAUUUUUUUUCUCAAAGUUUCUCACUCUCUAACACUCAUAACCCAACCCCUUUACUAAGCUUUCACCAUAAAUAUUUUCAUCCCAAACUCCUUGCUUCAUAUUCAAGCUCAACACCAUUUCUACCAAGCUUUUUUUUUUUCAUAUUUUGUGGGUAAUGACUUUAACUUAAACUUUUUAACUUUUUGUUCCUAUUUUUAUUAUUAAAAAUGGUUGUUUGUUCUUGGUUGGUGUUUUGAGAUGAUUUAGAUUCAAGCUUGCAAAAAAUGAUUGACUUUGGUUUACUCACAUUUUUUUAAAGAUUUUUUACUCUUACUAUUUUUUUCACCUUUUUGUGGUUGCUUUGUGUGUGUUAUCAUUUUCUUUUAUUAUGGACUUGUUGUUGUAUUUGUUUGGUUGAUGAGGUCUAUUAGAUCAUGACCAUGGUUGUUUAGAGUUGAUUAAAUUCUUGUUGUUGUAUUUGUUUGGUUGAUGAGGUCUAUUAGAUCAUGACCAUGGUUGUUUAGAGUUGAUUAAAUCUUCAAUGUUUCAAACCUAUCUAUGGUUGAUCAAUAGAUCAUUCAUGAUACUUUGAUGCAUUGAUAGAUUGCCUCUAUUUUAACCAUAUUUGGGUCAUUUGAUGCAUAGAUGAAACCAUGUAUUUACAUUAACUUGCUAUUCCAUUUACUUAUUGUUACUAACUACUAAUUACUAACUCCUAACAUUUAUAUUAUUGCACUUUAUUUUAUUUUAUUUUGCAAUUUAUUUUAUUGUUCAUUUUAUUUCAUUUACUUUAUGUUUAUAUUUAUUAUUAUCUAACUAUAUCAUUUAAAUUAUGUUAAUUUAUUUACUACCUUAUUAUCUUGUUAAACAAAAGAGGAAUAAAAACAAAUGAAAGAGAACAAAUCAGUUUUUUUAAAAUAUUAAUAAAUGGACUUAAGGUUGCAUAACUUUCUUUGUUACAAAUCUAUUGUUAGUUGGUUUUAUAAUCAUCUUCAAUACUUUGCAUCAAUGAUAAGCUAUCACUUAAUAUUUCAUAUUUUAAGUCUUCUUGGCCUAAGAAAAUACUCUUAAAAGAUAUUCAUUUUUGUACAUAUUACUAACCACUAAUUAUACUUCAUUAAUUAUGUUUGUCAUUAACCUUUGUUAUUGUGAUUUUGGUAUUAUUGACUUAUAUUUGUUUUAUAUCAUUUAUAUUCACUAACCAUUAUUAUUGUGAUAUUGUUUCUUUUUCUUGUAAUUUACUUGUAUGUCAUUACCUUGUAAUUUACAUUAAAGUACUCAUCAUCAUCAUCAUUGUACAAAUUCAUCAUGCAUGUUUAUUUACUUGUUAUUUAUUUUAUUAUCAUCAAACAUUAAAAACAACAAAAACAUGAUAAAAUGAUAAGACAAAAAUAUUCAUUCCACUCUUAAUCAACUUGGACUUAGAGGAUUUCAUUUUAGGACCCCUGCUUGGAGGCCUUUCCCUUAUCUUUGUGAUACUUUGUAAAUGUUGGAUUUUAUUUGUAACUUACAUUCAUGUUGUAAGAAUAGCAUCAUGGCACCACCUUAGGGGGACAUGUUUGUAAGACCAUUAUCCUUUGUUUAACUUAGGUCACUUUUGCACACAAAAGGCUUUCUCUUGGGCUACCUUACAAUGAGACUUUUUAAUUUCUUGUUGGUUACUUUGCAUUCAUGUUGCAUAAGCCAAAUUUCAUAAUCAAAAUAAAAUAAACCCUUGAUUCAAAGUCAAGUGGCAUUUUCUUAGCCAAAUUCAAAAAUACUUAAUAAUUACGAUUAUUAUUGUGCGCCAUGAGCCUUAAGUGGUGGAGAAUGAGUGAGAAUGAAGCAUUCCUACCCUUACUCUGAUUAUUUUGAACGCAAGACGCUUGACUUGUUGUCUAGAAUAAUCACCUCCGCCCAUAGACUUUAGUACUAUAUAAUCAGAAACAUUCUUUCAUAAAACCCUUAUUCGAGGUAAAAACAAAAUAACUCAUCAAACUCUUUUUUUUGUGCCUUAGGGCAUCAUCCUAAAAACCCUUUUUUUCAAAGGUAAAAUCAACCAACACACAAAUAUUUUCUACUCCGAACUAUGGAGCUCUGAUUCCUCAUCCCCGAAUGAGUGAUACGUAGGCACAAAGGUCACAAUCCUUGACGAGCGCUAUAAGAACAAAAACACCCCCCUUCUUUUCACACAUUCUUUUGAAAAUAAAAAAAUAAUAGAUAAAUCCCAUGUAUGUAAAACAACCCAAAUGGUUCCCAUGGAGUACCAUGGACGUAAGGGGUGCUAACACCUUCCCCUUACGUAACCGAAUUCCGAACCCAAAUCUCGGUUGCGAGACCGAUUCCUUAUUCUCUUUUAAGCGCUUCUCGUGCGCGUCUCUUUUCUGAGGGUUUUAUCGACUAUUUUCCCCCUCCUCUCCGAUAGAGGUAAACUAAAUAAAAUUCGGUGGCGACUCUUCUGACUUUGCCUCUCUUUGGCAUCUCUUUAGUCCCGGUUUCGUUAUCGUGAAAUCCCGGUAGCAACAGCUGGCGACACUGCUGGGGACCAAAAAAUCCCUAAGCAAGUCUAGCCUACUUUGGGUUGUUUCCUCUUUUACGUACGUGGAGAUUUAUCUGUUAUCUAUUUUUCUGUAUAUAUUGCUUUCUUUGCUAACUCGUGCAUAUUUUCUUUGUUUACCCGUUGGUCUGAAACUCUGACUCUGUGGCGAAGAAUUUUUGGAAGCAAUAAUGAUUGCAAAGAAAAAAACCUUGUGUGAAGGACUCCCCACCCGAGUCUGAGAGUUUGCUUGAGAUAGGAGAGGUUGAGUAGUAUUGAUCCGCGAGGUUCCUUCCUCGUUAGGGUCGUACGAGAACCUCACUUAGUGGUAGAUUCUCUUAAGGGGAUUGAUGACCGUCGUGCUUUCGGCGUAAGCAUCUUUUCUUUUACUAGAGUCAAUGACCCUAAGACCCCUUUUAGAACCUUUAAAACUAUGGCUAGCCUAGACCGAUGGUCGCGUAGUAUAGGCCACCGAGGUGCCUUCCUCGUAAGGGUCGAUACGAAGAUCUCACUUAGAGUAGAUGACUUUGAUGGAGCAGUCGCCUGGCAAGUAAAUUGACAUAAGCGGCUGACAGUCAAGGAAGUCCAUGACUCUAGGGGCAGUGUCUUACACCCAAUUUUCCAAAAGCCUUAGAUCACACAAAGCGAGAACCUUGGUUUACUAAGCAGUCAUUAUUAACUCCAUGCUUCGUCACGAUGGUCCAAAACCACGAACCCAUGCCUAAAAACCUGUGGAAAUAAUAAACCAAUCAUUCAUUCAUACAUUCAUUCAUCAUCAAAAUAAUAAGCAAAGCUCUUAAAAUCUUUCGUUUGUUCAAACGCAGAAUUACAAGACUAUUUUCCGACACAAUCAUGGAUACUUCAACAAAGAAAAGCACUUCUUCUUUCCGCUUCAAAAGUCCCGACAUCAGGUCAUUAAAGGUCCUUUGUUCAAAGGUCAUAGCUCUCAAAGACAACAAGUUUAGAGCCAAUUUUGGGAACAUCGUAGAUCUUCUAACCGAGAAGGUUGACUAUUGUGCUAUCACUACAAUGUCCCAAUACUAUGACGUUCCUUUAAGAUGCUUCACUUUCCCCGACUUCCAAAUCUCUCCAACCUUGGAAGACCUCGAGAGACUCCUCAAUCGACCAAUCAAGGAAUACAACCCUUUCCCAAAAUUGGAAGAAGGAUUCUGUUUGACCGAGCUCUCACUCAUCUUGGGUAUCAACACCAACAAGUUAGUGGACAAUUGGGGCGUUAAAGGAUCCCUCAAAGGUUUAACUCAAAAUUUCCUAGAAGCCCAUGCUUGGGAAAUGAUUAAAGAAGGAAGACCCGACUUUUGCAGUGCAACUUUGGCACUUUUGAUUCAUGGAAUUGUCCUCUUCCCAAAUCUGGUCAAGUUCGUGGAUCAAUUAGCAGUUGAAGUCUUUUUAACAAAAAAUCCGGUGCCCUUUUUACUUGCCGACUUCUACCAUACCUUCCAUACAAGGCAUGAGAAGAAGGGAGGUACUUACCUUUAUUGCGCUCCUAUGUUACAUCUUUGGAUGAGGGCCCACAUGCCUCAAAGUGGACCUUUCGCUGAAAACAAACUGACAUGGCCGCAAAGGUUCGCAUCUCUCUCUGCCAACUCAAUUCUAUGAUAUAAGAGGGAAUGGGAUAUAAAGGAUGUCAUCACAAGAUGUGGAGAGUUCUCUAACGUACCCUUGAUAGGAACGCAAGGUUGCAUCAACUACAACCCUGCUAUACUCAAGAGACAACUAGGGUACGCCAUGACAAGUCCCCCCGAGGAAAGAGAUUUCAUUCCAUUUGUCAUCAAUAUCGUGUGUAGCGGUGUAUUCGUCACCAUUGGAAAUAUUAACUAAAUCCAGGGUAAAUCAUACAAAGUCGAGUCGCCACCGCACUUCUAUUUAUCCAAAGGAAUGGUUAGAAAGCGAACAAAAACCUAUAAAGUUUUACAAACAAAACUAGUAAAAGGGGGUCAGAGAUCUGGGUAAGGGGGUUGGUUAUGCAAUGGGAAGGUGUUAGGCACCCAAUGCAUCCUAGGUACUCCUAGGGAGCCCUUUUCACGCUUGUUGUAUUGGUUAUUGUUUAUGAAAUUAUUUUGUGCAAACAUGAUUGAGGAGAUGAGAGAAGAAUAUACAAGUUUAUUUACAUUUUAUGUUUGGAUGGAUGAACCCAUUGCCUACGUACCCUCUCAUGAAAGAUAAGGAUCAAAACCCCGUAGUUCGGGUAACAAAUUUCAAAACAGUGAGUGGAUUGAUUUUAAACAAAAGCCUUAAGGUCUUUCAUUAUCAAAGGGAGAAAACUCGACCCGAGCCAACAAUCCAUCAUGUGAGAAUAGCUUCGACAUGCUAGUGAGGGGUUAACCCUAUAAUAAGCAUGAAAGUCUUACAAUUCAAUCACUAAGGACAAAAGGUGAGAUUUACAUCAACCACUAAGAUAAUUCAGUUCUAUGGCUAAUGCAUGAACAUUUGAUUAAGGAGUGGACAAGGGCCACAAAAGCAAUUGAGUGAGUUGAAUUAACCAAUGAGAAGUAUUCACAAAGAUGGUCAAAUUUGACUUAAAGUUCAAUUCAAAAUGAGUAUUAUGAAAAGAAAGUUUGAAAAUCAAAGGCAUAAGGCCUAGGUUUCUAAUGUUGAAAACAAGUCAAAUGUUUGCACAAAAGUUUUCUGGUUUGAGUUAAGGAUGGAGAAAGGUUAACAAAAGGGUGAGGGUUAAGGGAUGCAACUACAGUUAGGAAUUCCUUUCUCAAGAUCAUAGAGAUGAUCCAAGUAAGUUCCUUUGGAAUUAGGCAACACAAGGUAAAAGCAAUUAGCAAGUCUCAUAAGAGAACCACAGAAAGAGGAAACAGAAUGCCAAUCAAUGGACUUACAUCCAACUCCUAACAACAAAACUGGAAACAGAAUGCCAAUAGAGGGGCUUACAUCUAACUCCACAAAACAAACAGGAAACAAAAUGCCAAUAUAUGGACUUACAUCUAACUCCUCAAGACAAACAAAUGAGCAAAAGCAAACACAUGCAAAGCAAUCAAGCAAACAAUGCAUCACACUCUAUAUACAAACAAGAGUCUCAGACAAAGACGGGCUUUAGUCAAGAGGGGUCAUAUCAACCUCGACAAAUAAGCCAAUUGUAUUCAGGUGAUCUGUGAGCUCUUAACCACUAACAUUGAGAGUUAGGGUGAAGCUGAUGAAAUGGAUAAAUGAGGAUGGGACCUCAUGCUCUUAACCCUGGCCUGGGUGAGCUUAUGACAAAGAAAGUGUGGGGAUCCAUAAAGAGGGACCCUAUUCCACUUGACUGACUCGAUACAAAGAUCUUGGGUUAUGUUCAAGAGCAUCAGCAUGUAGUGCGAGCAUAAUGAACGACUCACUGAAUAACAGGGGAUUGAUUGCUAAUCCCUUCUAUAUGUCAAUUGCCUCUUCACUUAGGAGGACUUAUCAAGUAACAUGCCUCAUCUAGAGGUCUUUAGCACAAAUGUAAACAAUCACAAACAUGACCUCAUAAGGAGGACUUCAGCCAAAUGCCUGCCAAAAAGGUGACAGGACUUCCAGACUACAUGGAGUAAGAGGGCUAAACUACCUCAGUGGUGUAUCAACCACACUCCAAAGCAAAGGCUAAGCAAAAUCUAGCUAGCAACUAAUGUACCUGUACAAAAGCCAAACAGUUAAUAGUGUAUUCAAAAAACCAUCAGACAACAAUGGAACCAUGCAACAGUUAUACACAAGGUAAGUCACAAGUGCAAGCACUCAAGUGAGUUCAUCACAUCAAUGGGCCUACAACACAACAAGAGUUAGUGAUCAAAGCAAUUGGCAUCUCAAGUAAUGAGACCAAACCAACCAUUAGUGCUAAAUACUUGAAACACAAAACACAAUUGGUGAGUACAAACCACUAGUGCAAAGACUAGGGUCAAAGGCAAGUCAAAAGACCAAAACAGAAGUCAAAAUUUCACAUGAAGCACAUUCAGUCAAACAAGAAAGAGUCCUCAAAAGGACCAAAACCAAAUCAUAAGGCAAAGGUAUCAAUCAAUUCAUGUCAUGCAAAGGCAAACAAUGUGAUCAAAAUUGGACAUCAAGAAUAGAAAAUUCACAUUAAAACAGAAAUGUAUCCAAUGAUCAUGAUUUUUUUUAUGUGAACUCAACAUGUUAUGAACAAGCAUCAUACCAAAAAAUUAAAAUCCAGAAGACAACAAAUGGUGUAUGAAUGAAAAUGCACUAGUACAAGGUACAAAAUGUUACACCAAAUGUCACACCACAUGUCCAUGUGUCCCAAACAGUGGUAUCAAAUGAUAAAAAUGCCAAAUAAAAGUCAAAACAUCAUGUCACAUGUUAGGAUCAGGCAUGUCAAAUUUCAAGGCAAUUGGAUAAACCAUGAGCAUUUCAUAAAAUAAAUAGCACAACAUAGCAAAUUGGCAUCAUGUUCAAACAAUCAAGCACAAUUAAAAAUCCAGAAGCACAAAAAUCAUGAAAUAAACAUCAAAAAAUAAUAGACACCAACACAAGCAUGUGGAAAAAAGUUUGGAUCAAUUAGGACAUAUUUUCUAUUUUUAAUGAUUUUUGAAAGUUGAAGAAAAUAAAAUGAAUUAACAUGAAAUAAUGUGAAAAUGAUAUUUAAAAAUGACAAUGGCAACAUGCAUCAGGCAGGGAUCGAACCAAGGCAAAGCAGGUCAAGUGAUAAUUCAAAUGAAAUAAAACAAAAGUGGCAUGGUGAAGGAUCGAACCAGCGCGUAUCAGGUCAAAGAAGCGCUCAAAUGAAAAAUCACAAAAUACACACGCGAAGGUUCGAACACAGGUGCCUAAGGUCCAAGGCGCAUUUGAAGCAAAGCGCAGCGUUUGAGGCAAAUGAGGAAUUAAAUGGAAAACAAAAUCGCACAGCAAGGGAAUCGAACACAGGACUUGGAGGUUCAAGGCGCAUCAUAAGCAAAACGCAGCGUUUGGCUUGCAAACCCUAGCGCUAUUCACAGACGGCGGAGGACGGCGGUUUCCACCGUCUUCUCCGGCCGUCCAGGCGGAGCAACAGUAAUUUUUUUUCCAGAAUUUAACAAAUUAUAUAUGGUUGGAACCGUCUUGCAACGAGGAACACGAAUCUCACACUCAUUAAGCCUAAAACGCCAUGAAUCGAACAGAUCGAACAGAAACAUAUUGAACAACCAAACUUGAAUUCAGCAUAUCUCACUCAUUACUUAACCAUUUCAAAUUCUAAAACUAUCAGCAUCAUCAGCAGUGCAAGAUCUAUCUAAUCAUGUACAUGAAAAGGAAAAUAAUGAGAUUCAAAUUUCACCUUGUUCAAGAUGACAGUUGAUGGAUACGCGUGUUCAAGGCUUCAAAACUUCCAGAUCUUCUUCCUCAAUUUUGUUAUGAAGCUUGAUGCACGGAUGGACAACUGAAACACCUUGAAUCUAGCUCAAAUUGAAGCUUCCAUGUUCAUGUUCAAGCUUUGGAUCUGCACGAAUCUGCACCAAAUUCUUCAAACCAAACCUUGACUCCUACUCAAUGAUGCAUGAUAAACCAGAUUAUGCCAGAGUUUUGUGGAAUUGGAUGAAGAAAUUUGAAAAUUGAAGAGAGAGAAAUUUGAGAGGGAAAUGCAAUUUUUGAUCCAAAUUCUGUUAUUUUUUUCCAUUGUGAUUAACAUUUAGCUUAUAUAUGAUGUGUUAAUGAUGCUGUAAUCAAGAUUAGGCAAUGGCUAAUUGAAAAUUAAUGAGAAAUGAGGUGAAAUGCAAAUUUGGCAAGUGUGAGGUGGCAUGAGCAAUGUGCACGUGAACAGUGCCAUGCAAGCUUCAUUUUUACUCAAAAUCAUUCAAUAAACAAGAUGGAAUAGGAAUUAGGCUUGUAUGACUCACCAAUUUCAAAUUACCAACUUUCCCUCCAAAAUGCACUUGAAUGGGCAAAUGGUCAUGUGAGCUUUUUCAUGCAAGGCAAUGGUUGAUUUGGAAUCUCUUGGUCAUAAGGAGCAUUUUGCAAAAAGAGUGGCCCAAAUUGGAGUUUUGGAUCAAAAGUUAUGGCAUUUUGAAGUUCCAUGCAUGCUUUGCAAUCAUUUGAUCAUAACUCCUCAACCAUUCAUCAGAUGAACAUGAUAUAGGACUUUUUGAAAAGGGGACAGAAAGAUCUUCAACUUUCAUGUUGACCAAAAAUCCAUUUGAAGCUUCUUUGAUGUUGGAAAUUUAAGUUGAAUGUGGACCAAAAACUUGCUAUUUUUGGAAACUUGAAAUUACAGGUCACUUUCCAUUUUGGGAAACUUUUGCUUUGACUUCAAAAUUUUCAAGAUAGAUGUUUGAAAUGAUGAAUAGGCCUUGUUUGAACAUGAAUGGGAUGUCUCAAAUCAUUUCCCACACCUCAAAGCCCUCAGUUGACUGCACAGUUGAUAAUUUGGUCCUCAGAUGACCUUGACAAAGCCUGGUGAACUUGAGGUUCCACCACUUGGGGAAAAUACUCCAAAAUGAACCUCUAGCUCAUAUGAGCUCAAUAUGAUGUCAUGUGGUCCUCAUCUCAAGAAAAUACCAUCAGAUUUUGUACAAAGGAAUUCCUUGAAAUGCUUGACCUGAUGAUUGCUUGGACUGCAAAACAAAUGUUAGAUGACAUAUUUUUGGUGCUUUUGGUUAGUGAUUAAAACAAGAAAAACAAUGAUAUACAAUGCAAGCAUGCCUAGUGAUCUCAAACCACUCACAGGAGAUCCCAACCAAAGGGAAAGGAAGGCAAGAUGCUCAAAGAUCCUUGAGGCUAUGCAAUGCUAUGGUAUGAUGCCAUGAGGGAUCUUAGGGACAAAAUUGGGGUCUUACAUCGUGGAUCCGCUUGAUUCGAAUGUGAAAAGAGUGAGAAAAGCUUGGACAAGCAUAGUCCGUAUUGGCCAUGAAUGGGGAAAGAAAAAUAUCCUAGCCAAGGAACCCUACUAUGUGUGGGUAAAAGAGAGGGCUAAGGUGGUUAAGAUGCCGUUUCUGUUUGAUCCUUCUUCAUUCCCGUUGAUGCCUGAGCCCGAGCCUAUCCUACAAGAGGACAUGGACAAACUUACCAGCCAAAUCAAAGAGCUCGAGUUGGAAAAACACUCAACUACGGUCGAACUCUAAUCGCGCCAAGGAAACAUAACCCACUCUUGGAGGAUAAGGGUAAGCAAGUCUGUGAAAAUUUAGAAGCAUAGGCAAGAAAAGGUCCGAUUAGCUGACGGGAAAAGAGUUUAGGGUUGGUGGCGCUUACAAGGAGCUAAUUCUGAGCUAAUUUCGUAACGAGGAGUUGAUCGGCAUCCGAAUCAUCAAGGACCUUGAAAAUACUCGUCGAGAGGUCUAAUGCCAUGACGAAAGAAGCGAGGGAAGAUUACGAGGCCAGAUUCUCGAACUAAGGGACUCUAAAAGAGUAUAAGGAUUGCUAGCAAGGAGCAACUAGAGAAAGAAAAGAUUCAUCGAAGCUUCAUGCGGGUGAGAGCUUCAACCUUGGACGAGCUUGCGAGCAAUCUAAGAACUUGAAGAGGGGAAUCUAUGACCAAGCCUAUGUAGAAUUGCAAAACAACUGCAGACAUUGGGAGGGCGUUUGUAUGAAUUGAAGCUGCCAUUGUUCAAAGGGACGAAAUAUCUCAUAAUCUCCAGAUCGUUUAGAAGAAUGGAGGGACAAGUACACCACAUGAAGUAUUAACCAACUAUGCUUCAAGACUUUCCCGCCAAGUUGAAGGAGGCAGAUCUGAUCAUGUGACAGAUAAUCCCAAAGAGGUCUACAUUCGUCAAGUCUGCAAAGAAAAUGGCGAAUCAUCACCGACAUUGAGGCUCUCCGCAAGUCUCAAGGGGUCACUUUUAGGGUGGAUAUCUAGUUGGUUUAUUUUGCUUUCAUUACUUGUAUUUUGCAACUUCUAUGUAUUGCUAUCUAUUUUCCCUUCAAAGGAUGAAUGAAAGUUGCGAUUUUUUCUCUAUUGUGUUUUCCUAUUUCAUGAUUGUAAACGAGAAUCGUCAAGUAGUUUUUUUUGCAAUGAAUAAACAUGAAUAACUAAAAAGAGUUUUGCUUUAACAAGAAAAAAUUCAUGCAUCAUAUGCAUCUUUCGAAACACAAAAAACAUAAAAAACUCAUCCAUCCACCCUUUUUUCCUUCCAGAACCACUCUCCAAAGCUGACUUUUUGGUACGAUACACGAGGACGUCGACAAGCUGUCAUGGAGCAACUUCAAGAGAACCAAGUUGUCCUUCAGGAAGAAGUAUCCCAAAUGCGGUCCCAAAUGCGGCAAUUGAUGGAGACUAUUCAAGUAGUCGCAAGAGGCCAGGAGGUUAUGGCAAAAAUGCAAGAAGAAAUGAAUCAACGUGCUAGUACUACCAAUCCUCCUACCUCUCAAACGGUCGAGAAUCCGACUCCAGUUCCUCAAGCUGAUCCUCCAAUUAACAUUAAUACACCCGACAGUGUUCCAAACGACAAUCCUCGUCCUCAUGCUCCUGAGACAGACGACCAACUUGAUGCAUUCUUCAGCCCAAGGGACGUUUCUCAGGAUGACGUCUUCGGUUCCGCAACCAACAAGGUGGAGAGGAAGGUAAAGGCUAUCGAGGAAAAGCUCAAGGCAAUGGGGAGCACUGACAUUUUGGGCCUCGAUGCGGUAGAAAUGUGCUUAGUACCUGGGGUCAUCAUUCCGGCCAAGUUCAAAGUUCCGGACUUUGAAAAAUAUAAGGGAAAUAGCGACCCUAGGACACACAUUAGGGCAUACUGCCGAAAGAUGGCUGCCUAUUCGGCCAAGUUCAAAGUUCCGGACUUUGAAAAAUAUAAGGGAAAUAGCGACCCUAGGACACACAUUAGGGCAUACUGCCGAAAGAUGGCUGCCUAUUCCAGCGAUGAUCAACUUUUAAUGCAUUUUUUCCAAGAUUCCCUCAGUGGGACAUCUUUGGAUUGGUACAUGCAACUCGAGAGCAAUCAUGUUCACACCUGGAGGGAAAUGGCUGAGGCAUUCCUCAAGCACUAUCAGUACAACACUGAUAUGACACCUAAUCGCACGCAGUUGCAAAGUCUGACUCAGAGGUCUGAGGAGUCCUUCAAAGAGUAUGCCCAGCGGUGGAGGGAAUUAGCUGCUAGGGUACAACCCCCGUUACUAGAAAGAGAACUGGUAGACAUGUUUAUGGGAAACUUGCAAGGUCCAUACCUUGAUAGAAUGGUAGGGAGCACCUCUUCAGGCUUUUCAGACCUGGUAUUAGCCGGUGAAAGGAUAGAAAAUAUGAUUAAAAUGGGAAAGAUCCAGAACUCUGCCAGUACUUCUAGUGCAUCAAAGAAACCUUUUGUUCCCUAUGGUAAAAAACGAGAAGGCGAGACCAAUGUUGCCUCCAUCAUUCAUACAAGAAAUCCCACUUAUCCACAAGUAGCUGCCAUAGCUCCCGUCCAACCAAGUCAACAACAACCAUUUGUAAUUCCUGUUCAAACUCAACAACAACAACAGUAUCAACAACAACCGCAACGUCAUCAACCACAAUAUCAACAACAACAAAGGAUGCGAAGGCCCGAGAGAAGAUUUGAACCAGUUCCCAUGCCUUAUAGCCACAUUCUACCAUAUUUAUUAAGGGGAUCACUUGUGCAACUAAGAGAGUUAGGACCCCCACCAGCGGUUCUUCCUCCCGGUUAUGAUGCAAAUUCCCGCUGUGAAUUUCAUUCUGGCGCUCCUGGGCACUCGAUCGAGAAUUGUAAAGCAUUAAAGUACAAAAUUCAAGAUCUUAUUGAUUCUAAGGCAAUCACGUUCGCCCCCAAGGGGCCGAAUGUAAAUAAUAACCCGAUGCCCCCUCACAACAAUGCAUCAGUGAAUAUGAUGGAGGCUGACAAUGGAAGGAGAUUGAUGUCUUGUGUGGACGAGUUAAAAACACCACUCAUCGAGAUCAAGAAUGCUUUAGUGAAGAAUAAUACCUUUCCCAUCUGUAGUAAUGACUGUGAACAUUGUCUGAUUAACCCGCAACAAUGUAGAACACUGAAGUCUGUCAUACAACAAUUAAUGAACCAAGGGAUCUUGGUGGUAGACUGCCCGUCCACAAAGGAAGAUGUGUCUACCCUCGAGAUACCAUACGAUGAAGUCCCUCCUCUGCAAAUUCCAUAUGACUUCUCUCAGUUAACUCUGUCGACAAAUCCUGUUACUUCAAUCGUAAUAACAGUUCCCACACCAUUCCCAUAUGUUGACACCAAGGCAGUCCCAUGGAUGUAUGACACCUCAGUCUACAUUCAUGGUCAGAAGGUGCAAGAAGAACCGUUGAAGUCUAGUGACUCAAUGAUCAAUAUCACCGGCACUAGCGGAGUCACGAGAAGUGGAAGGAUAUUUGCGCCGACACCCACUCCAAUUGGAAGUAUCAAUCCUUCAACUUCAGACAAAGGCAAACAAAUUGAUGGCGCUCAGCAAAGACAAGACCCCGCACCUUCAAGUGAAGUAGACGAGUUCUUACGCAUUAUCAAGAAGAGCGAUUAUCGAGUAGUUUAACUUCAGACAAAGGCAAACAAAUUGAUGGCGCUCAGCAAAGACAAGACCCCGCACCUUCAAGUGAAGUAGACGAGUUCUUACGCAUUAUCAAGAAGAGCGAUUAUCGAGUAGUUGAUCAGCUUAACUAGACACCCUCAAAGAUCUCAAUGUUGUCUUUAUUAAUGUGCUCGGAGGCCCAUAGGGAGGCUUUGGUAAAGUUUCUGAGGACAACUCACGUACCGCAAGAGAUAUCUGUUUGUCAGUUUGAAGGAGUAGUUAACAAUAUCGCUACUAGCUUAAGCUUGGGUUUCAGUGAUGAAGAGCUUCCCGCCGAGGGAGGAAUCAUAACAAGGCUCUCCAUAUUUCUAUUGAGUGUGUGGACACAAUCCUAUCAAGAGUUUUGAUAGACACUGGGUCCUCCCUCAAUGUGAUGCCCAAGAGCUCCUUUGCUAAACUAACUAUUGAAGGACUCGUAAUGAAGCCGAGUGAGCUUAUAAUAAGAGCAUUUGAUGGGACUAGAAGGAAUGUAAUCGGUGAGGUGAAUUUUCCUAUGAAGAUUGGUCCCCAUAUUUUCCUUAUCACUUUCUUCGUAAUGGAUAUCUAUCCAGCCUACAGUUGUCUACUUGGGAGGCCUUGGAUCCAUUCAGCUGGUGCAGUCACUUCAACGCUCCACCAAAAAUUGAAAUUCUUAGCUGAUGAUAAGCUAGUUGUUGUCGAGGGUGAGGAGGACAUUAUGGUAAGUCACCUCGCAUCUUUCCGAUACGUUGAGGGAGAAGGGGAGAUAAGGGAAGUCCCAUUCCAAUCAUUUGAAGUUAUCAAUGUUGAAAUGGUUUGCCCAGCAAGGGAUGAAUCAAAAGAUGCCGAAUCUCCCAUGGCACCUCUUAAAGACGCCCUGACAAUCAUAAAGGAUGGACACCCCCAAGGAUGGGGAAGAUUGCUUGAACUUCCUGCCAACAAGGACCGCACCGGUUUGGGAUACAACUCCCAAAAUUUCAAGAAGCCCGCGCCGAUAGCUACAAGGGGAUCAGUGAUCCCGCUGUCCGACAACUUCUCAAGUGCUAGUUACUUGGAUGACAACCAUAUUUGUGCCGUGGAAGAAGAAGAAGAAGAAGAUGAUGGCUUGAUCUUCACAAAGACUGAUGGAAAUGGUGCCACCAAAUGGACCGAGUUUGAAAUACCUAAAGUGACCUUGAUUGAAAUGUAAUUCCCAAUGUUGUUUUCCUUCCUUUUUAUCAAAAGAACCCAUGUCAAGCCCAAGGCAUGGGGGAAUCAUUUGUAGGGCCUCAUCAAAUUUCCUUAUUAAUCAUUAAUGAAAAAGGGUUCAUGUUCGCAAUCAAUUUUGAGAUCCUUGUCUUUCAUUUUUUCAUUUCACUUUUUUAAAAUGACAUUUUUCUUUUAAAAAAAAUAAUAAAAAAAAAAUUCUUUUCAAAUCAUCCUUUCUUUCAUACCAAUAAAAGCGUGAACCUUAAAUCAUGCAGAUCAUCCUCGACAACCACCAAUGACAAUUCUGCUACAGUCUCAUACGACUUUGACAACCCGAUUAAUCAAGCUGAUGAAGAGUGUGAGGAAGAGGCCGAACUCCCAGAAGAAUUGGCAAGGCUGCUCAAGCAAGAGGAAAAAGUCAUCCAGCCGCACGAAGAAUCAGUGGAAGUGAUUAACCUUGGGACAGAUGAGGAAGCGAAAGAAGUUCGAGUCGGCUCCGCUCUACAAGACGAGGUGAAGACAAAAUUGAUUGAGCUCUUGAAGGAAUACAAAGAUGUGUUUGCAUGGUCAUACCAAGAUAUGCCCGACCUCGAUACUGACAUUGUGGUCCAUCAUCUACCCCUUAAAGAAGAAUGCCCUCCAGUAAAGCAAAAACUACGAAGGACCCGUCCCGACAUGGCUAUGAAAAUCAAGGAGGAGGUACAAAAGCAACUCAACGCCGGCUUCCUAGCGGUCUCCAAUUAUCCUCAAUGGAUAGCUAACAUUGUGCCUGUACCUAAGAAGGAUGGCAAAGUAAGAAUGUGCAUAGAUUACAGAAAUCUAAAUAGAGCAAGUCCCAAAGAUGACUUUCCACUGCCACACAUUGACGUGCUAGUAGAUAAUACCGCUCAGUUCUCUAUUUUCUCUUUUAUGGAUGGUUUCUCCGGUUAUAACCAGAUCCGCAUGGCACAAGAAGAUAUGGAGAAAACCACUUUCAUAACACCAUGGGGCACCUUCUGCUACAAGGUGAUGCCUUUUGGAUUGAAGAACAUCGGCGCCACAUACCAACGAGCCAUGAUCACUCUAUUUCACGAUAUGAUCCAUAAAGAGAUUGAGGUCUACGUCGAUGACAUGAUAGCUAAGUCUCAAACCGAAGAAGAACACCUUAUAAAUCUAGAAAAGCUGUUUGAGAGGCUGAGGAAGUUCAAAUUGAGGCUUAAUCCCAACAAAUGCACAUUUGGGGUAAGAUCCGGCAAAUUGUUAGGUUUUAUCGUCAGUCAACCUGGCAUCGAAGUAGAUCCCGAGAAAGUAAAGGCAAUACAAGCUAUGCCUACACCCAAAACCGAGAAGGAGGUCCGAGGAUUCCUAGGUAGAUUGAAUUACAUUGCUAGUUUCAUAUCUCACCUCACUGCCACUUGUGAUCCAAUCUUCAAACUUCUUCGAAAGGAUCAAGCCAUCAUUUGGAACGAUGACUGCCAAGACGCAUUUGAGAAAAUAAAGGAAUAUUUGCAAGAGCCUCUACUGCCACUUGUGAUCCAAUCUUCAAACUUCUUCGAAAGGAUCAAGCCAUCAUUUGGAACGAUGACUGCCAAGACGCAUUUGAGAAAAUAAAGGAAUAUUUGCAAGAGCCUCUUGUGUUGAUGCCUCCUGUACCUGGUAGACCAUUAAUCAUGUAUCUCACCGUUCUUGAAGGAUCAAUGGGUUGUGUCCUUGGCCAACAUGACGAGACUGGUAGAAAAGAGCAUGCAAUAUACUAUUUGAGCAAGAAGUUCACUGAUUGCGAGAGAAGGUAUUCGAUGCUUGAAAAGAGUUGUUGCGCACUAGCAUGGGCUACCAAACGUUUAAGACAAUACAUGCUCACUCAUACGACAUUGUUGAUCUCUAAGAUGGAUCCUGUCAAAUACAUCUUCGAGAAGCCCGCUCUAACUGGUAGAGUAGCCCGAUGGCAAAUGGCUCUGACCGAGUAUGAUAUCCAACAUGUCACUCAAAAGGCCAUCAAAGGGAGUGCAUUGUCUAAUUAUCUUUCACAACAACCCUUGGAGGACUAUCAGUCUAUGCGUUUCGAAUUCCCCGACGAGGAUAUCAUGUUGAUUAGGGAUUGCAACAUCCCUGGUCCUGAGGAAGGACCCGAGCCUGGAUCCCGAUGGGCCAUGGUUUUUGAUGGAGCUUCUAACACUCAUGGUAAUGGAAUUGGGGCAAUAAUCACUUCUCCUACUAAUUUCCACCUCCCCUUCACCGCCCGAUUAUGUUUUGAAUGUACAAACAAUAUGGCCGAAUACGAGGCUUGUAUCUUUGGUAUUGAAGCUGCUAUCGAUCUUAGAAUCAAAAUCCUGGAAUUUUAUGGGGACUCAGCCUUGGUAAUCAGCCAAGUCAAAGGAGAUUGGGAUACUAGAGACCAUAAGCUCAUUCCUUACAAAGAGCAUGUCUUGAAACUAGUCCCCUAUUUCGAUGAAAUUACAUUCCACCACAUCCCUCGAGAAGAGAAUCAGCUAGCUGACGCUUUGGCGACUUUGGCAUCCAUGUUUAAAGUUAAAUGGAAGAACGAAGCGCCAUCCUUUCACCUGAACUACUUGGACGAACCUGCUUACUGUCUGGCAGCAGAAGACGAAGCUGACGGUCAUCCUUGGUUCCAUGACAUCAUGAAAUUCUUAGAGAACCAAGAGUAUCCUGCGGACGCGUCUAUCACCGACAAGAAGUAUCUUCGAAAACUGUCAUCCAAAUUUUUCUUAAGUGGAGGGGUAUUAUACAAGAGAAAUUAUGAUUCUGUUUUGCUUAGAUGUGUGAACAAGCAAGAAGCAAACCAGAUUAUAAUGGAAAUUCAUGAAGGAUCCUUUGGGACGCAUGCCAGUGGGAGUACUAUGGUGAAGAAAAUCUUAAGGGCCGGAUAUUACUGGAUGACUAUGGAGAUUUACUGUCAUCGCCACGUCCAAACCUGCCACAAGUGCCAGAUCUAUGCUGAUAAGAUCCAUGUGUCGCCAACGCCUCUCAACAUCCUAACAUCACCUUGGCCUUUCGCCAUGUGGGGCAUUGACGUGAUCGGACGCAUAGAGCCAACUGCCUCGAACGGACACCGCUUCAUCCUUGUAGCCAUUGACUAUUUCACAAAGUGGGUAGAAGUAGCCUCAUACGCCAACGUUACCAGACAAGUGGUGGCCCGAUUCCUCAGGAAAGAAAUCAUCUGCCGUUAUGGGGUCCCCAACAAGAUCGUUACUGAUAAUGGAUCUAACCUCAAUAAUAAAAUGAUGAAAGAGCUAUGCCAAAAUUUCAAGAUCGACCACCACAACUCAUCGCCUUAUAGGCCUAAGAUGAAUGACGCUGUUGAGGCAGCUAACAAAAAUAUCAAAAAGAUCGUGCAAAAGAUGGUGGAAACCUACAAAGAUUGGCACGAAAUGCUCCCAUUCGCAUUACACGACUAUCGUACUUCCGUACGCACUUCCACUGGGGAAACUCCCUUCUCCCUUGUGUACUUACCAGUCGAAGUAGAGAUUCCUUCCUUAAGGAUUUUGACAGAUAUUAAGCUUGAUGAGUCUGAGUGGGUACAAGCUCGAUUUGAUCAACUAAACCUCAUUAAUGAGAAGCGCUUAGCAGCCAUCUGCCAUGGCCAACUUUAUCAAAAGCGCAUCAAGAGGGCACAUGACAAAAAGGUUUUCCCCCGCAGCCUAAAAGCUGGAGACCUCGUAUUGAAGAAGAUUCUUCCUCCAACUUUAUCAAAAGCGCAUCAAGAGGGCACAUGACAAAAAGGUUUUCCCCCGCAGCCUAAAAGCUGGAGACCUCGUAUUGAAGAAGAUUCUUCCAAUCCAUACUGACCCAAGGGGAAAAUGGACGACAAACUAUGAAGGUCCGUAUGUUGUAAGAAAGGUCUUCUCCGGAGGAGCCUUGAUCCUCGCAACUAUGGAUGGUGAAGAUCUUCCAUCCCCGGUGAAUGCGGAUGCAGUAAAAAAAUACUAUGCUUAAAAAAUAAAAUAUAUAUCCCGAUAUGUUGAAAACCCGAAAGGGCAACUUAUGCAAAAAUGGGUAUCCCGGUAGACUGAAAACCCGAAAGGGCGGUCUAGGCAAAAAUUAGGAAUUUAAUAAGAGCAAGAGGCUGCAUCCCGUAAGGAAUCCUUCUUCGUUCCUUGGCAGGUCAAUUAUGUGGGUCCCAAGCAAGCCAAUCCUAUAACCCUCCUUCAAAAAAGCAAGAUCAAAGGACGACCAAAGGCAUGAAGACUAUAGCAGAGUUAGAAUCUGGUGGAAACUCGAGAUGUUUCAUUGCCAUUACAAUUAUCAUUUUCUUUUCGCAAUCACCUCUUUUAGGAAUUUCUUUCCUUUGUACAAAAUUCCCUACUUGUGGAAUCACUUGUCAAUAAAAAUCAAGUUCCCUCACAUAUGUUCCAUAUUUUUACUUUUCCUGCUUUAUCUGCGAAAUAUGACCUUUCUCUAAAUAAGAUUACAUGGGAAAUUUUCGAUUAAAAGACUUUUUUUUUUCAAAAAAAAAAACUAUAAGGAAGACAAUAUCGAAUUAUAUUCUUUCUAGAAUUUUGCUAAAGGUAGUCAAAACACAUUUCCAACUCAAGGGUGCCACAUAGUUCUUUGGACUAAGCCGAUCAUUUCUCCCCCCAAUGGGAAUUCCAAAACAUUACAUUCAGCGCCUGCUUGGACGUCAAACUUCAAUUUCUCAAGUAUCGGAAAGUCAGUACGAUUCACCCAAUCACCCUUUUUAAGCCCAAUCACCAUUGGUAUUCCCUAAACACACUCCUCCGCAAAGCCCAAACAUGCUUGGCAUAACUUGCAGACCAUGCAUUUCAUAUAUUCCCCAUGAAAGCCCAAACAUGCAUUGGCAUACAUAACAUCAUAUCAUGAGUAUCUCCUUAACUUACUCAGACUAACUCGUCAGGAAUUUUCCCCAAUAAAAAUCAAUGUUCAUCUUCAAAACAUUUCCCAAGCACAAAUCACACAUUCCAGCUGUUGCUGGGAAUCAUCGUUAAGUUAUUUCAUUUCAUUGUCGAAUUUCCCUAGAGGAGUCAAUGCUGAGAAACAUCAUUGUACUUCUUCUAUCCCUAGAAAGUCAAUACAUUUUUCCUUUUCCCCGCAGAGUCAGGUAUUCUUUCCCUAGAGGAGUCAAUGCUGAGAAACAUCAUUGUACUUCUUCUAUCCCUAGAAAGUCAAUACAUUUUUCCUUUUCCCCGCAGAGUCAGGUAUUCUUAACCAUUAUUAAGAAUCGUCACUGAAUUCUUAUUUUUUAGACUAGAGGCAUUUUGGGUUCAUUCCCAAAGAUGAGUCAGACGUUCAUAGCCGAGAACCAUCCUGGAGCUUAUUUUUUCACUAGUAGAUGUCAGGAAUUCCAGCCAUUGCUAGGAACCGUCACUUGACAUCCGUAUUCUCCUCAGCAGAGUCAGGUAUUCUUAGCCGUUGCUAAGAAUCAUCACUGAGUUGUUUGAUCUUCUCGGAGGAUUUCAGGUAUUCUAGCCUUCGCUACGAAUCGUCAUUGUACCUACGCAAAAAAAACUGUACUCUCCUCAGCAGAGUCAGGUAUUCUUAGCCGUUGCUAAGAAUCAUCAUCGAGUUGUUUGAUCUUCCCAGAGGAUUUCAGGUAUUCUAGGCUUCGCUACGAAUCGUCACUGUACCUUCACAAAAAAAAUAUGUAUUCUCCUCAGCAGAGUCGGGUAUUCUUUGCCGUUACUAAGAAUCAUCAUUGAGUUGUUUGAUCUUCCCGAAGGAUUUCAGGUAUUCUAGCCUUCGCUACGAAUCGUCACUGUACCUUCGAAUUUUUUUUAUCUCUAGUCGAGUCAGGUAUUAUAGCCAUCGCUAAGAAUCGUCACUGAUUUCGUUUUGUUUGACCCUUAAUAGAUGUUUUGUAUUUCAUCCGUUGUUAAAAAACGAUGUCUUGUUUUUUCCCAGUCGUGACUAGGAGUGAUCACCCUUCUUUUUUUCAUUCUCUAGAGAAGCUUUCGUCCCUCAACUUUCUUGGGCCCUUUUGACAUCAAAUUUUCAUUGUUAAGAAGAUACUUAGGAUGCAUACAUCACAUUGCAUGCAUAAUCAUCAUAACCAUGCAUAAUCCCUAAACAAAUAUUCACAUUAUCAUCCGCCGGCAGGGCGAAUUUCUGGUUACUGUCAUUAGUAUUUAAUCCUCUCUUACCUUGAAUACAUUGGAAGUCGUCACUAUCUAUGUAUUCAGGUCCGAGAGAAUUAAAUAGGGGCAGCUGUCAUACCCUAAAAUUCACCCAACUUCGAUACAACUUUCAUCUGAUCCAUGGCCCUACCGCACAUGCAUGCUUUCAUUAUUUCAUCAUCAUAAUUUCAUUGAACAUUCAUAACCAAAGACAUAUUACAUGAUCUCAAGGCAUAAAUUUAAAAAAAAUUAAAUUAAAUAAAUAAAAUAAAAUUAGGUAAAUCGAUUUACCCAAUUAGGUAAAUCGAUUUACCCUGCGCAGACACCAAAAAUAAGCCUUUUCUUUGCACAAAGGGUAUUUGGUUCCCCCCACUUUCCCACUUGUUUUCCCUAUAAAUAGAUGCACUAUUCCCCUUCAUUUUUCAUGCUUUCUAGCCCCCAAAAAUUUUGAAAAAAUAUCAUUCAACCCCUCUUCUCCAAACCUAAAUCAAAACCCAAAAAAACCUUUCCCUCCCAAAAGUCACCACUACCAACUUUUUUCCCAUUUCACAUUUUUUUCUCAAAGUUUCUCACUCUCCUUUCCCUCCCAAAAGUCACCACUACCAACUUUUUUCCCAUUUCACAUUUUUUUCUCAAAGUUUCUCACUCUCUAACACUCAUAACCCAACCCCUUUACUAAGCUUUCACCACAAAUAUUUUCAUCCCAAACUCCUUGCUUCAUAUUCAAGUUCAACACCAUUUCUACCAAGCUUUUUUUUUCAUAUUUUGUGGGUAAUGAUUUUAACUUAAACUUUUUAACUUUUUGUUUCUUUUUUUUUUGAUUAAAAAUAGUUGCUUGUUCUUGGUUGGUCUUUUGAGAUGAUUUAGAUUCAAGCUUGCAAAAAAUGAUUGACUUUGGUUUACUCACCUUUUUUUAAAGAUUUUUUAUUCUUACUAUCUUUUUUCACCUGUUUUUGGUUGCUUUGUGUGUGUUAUCAUUUUCUUUUAUUAUGGACUUGUUGUUGUAUUUGUUUGGUUGAUGAGGUCUAUUAGAUCAUGACCAUGGUUGUUUAGAGUUCUAAUUUAGAAGUUACAAAGUUUGCUAUCUAUGGUUGAUCAAUAGAUCAUUCAUGAUACUUUGAGGCAUUGAUAGAUUGUCUCUAUUUUAACCAUAUUUGGGUCAUUUGAUGCAUAGAUGAAACCAUAUAUUUACAUUAACUCGCUAUUCCAUUUACUUAUUGUUACUAACUACUAAUUACUAACUCCUAACAUUUAUAUUAUUGCACAUUAUUUUAUUUUAUUUUGCAAUUUAUUUUAUUGUUCAUUUUAUUUCAUAUACUUUAUGUUUAUUUUUAUUAUUAUCUAACUAUAUCAUUUACAUUAUGUUAAUUUAUUUACUACCUUAUUAUCUUCUUAAAUAAAAGAGGAAUAAAAACAAAAGAAAGAGAACAAAUCACUUUUUUUAAAAUAUUAAUAGAUGGACUUAAGGUUGCAUAACUUUCUUUGUUACAAAUCUAUUGUUAGUUGGUUUUAUAAUCAUCUUCAAUACUUUGCAUCAAUGAUAAGCUAUCCCUUAAUAUGUCAUAUUUUAAGUCUUCUUGGCCUAAGAAAAUACUCUUAAAAGAUAUUCAUUUUUGUACAUAUUACUAACCACUAAUUAUACUUCAUUAAUUAUGUUUGUCAUUAACCUUUGUUAUUGUGAUUUUGGUAUUAUUGACUUAUAUUUGUUUUAUAUCAUUUAUAUUCACUAACCAUUAUUACUGUGAUAUUGUUUUUUUCUUGUAAUUUACUUUUAUGUCAUUACCUUGUAAUUUACAUUAAAGUACUCAUCAUCAUCAUCAUUGUACAAAUUCAUCAUGCAUGUUUAUUUACUUGUUAUUUAUUUUAUUAUCAUCAAACAUUAAAAACAACAAAAACAUGAUAAAAUGAUAAGACAAAAAUAUUCAUUCCACUCUUAAUCAACUUGGACUUAGAGGAUUUCAUUUUAGGACCCUUGCUUGGAGGCCUUUCCCUUAUCUUUGUGAUACUUUGUAAAUGUUGGAUUUUAUUUGUAACUUACAUUCAUGUUGUAAGAAUGGCAUCAUGGCACCACCUUAGGGGGACAUGUUUGUAAGACCAUUAUCCUUUGUUUAGCUUAGGUCACUUUUGCACACAAAAGGCUUUCUCUUGGGCUACCUUACAAUGAGACUUUUUAAUUUCUUGUUGGUUACUUUGCAUUCAUGUUGCAUAAGCCAAAUUUCAUAAUUAAAAUAAAAUAAACCCUUGAUUCAACGUCAAGUGGCAUUUUCUUAGCCAAAUUCAAAAAUACAUAAUAAUUACGAUUAUUAUUGUGCACCAUGAGCCUUAAGUGGUGGAGAAUGAGUGAGAAUGGAGCAUUCCUACCCUUACUCUGAUUAUUUUGGACGCAAGACGCUUGACUUGUUGUCUAGAAUAAUCACCUCCGUCCAUAGACUUUAGUACAAUAUAAUCACAAACAUUCUUUCAUAAAACCCUUAUUCGAGGUAAAAAUAAAAUAACUCAUCAAACUCUUUUUUUGUGCCUUAGGGCAUCAUCCCAAAAACCCUUUUUUUCAAAGGUAAAAUCAACUAACACACAAAUAUUUUCUACUCCGAACUACGGAGCUCUGAUUCCUCAUCCCCGAAUGACUGAUACGUAGGCACAAAGGUCACAAUCCUUGGCGAGCGCUAUAAGAACAAAAACACCCCCCUUCUUUUCAAACAUUCUUUUGAAAAUAAAACAAUAAUAGAUAAAUCCCAUGUAUGUAAAACAACCCAAAUGGUUCCCAUGAAGUACCAUGGACGUAAGGGGUGCUAACACCUUCCCCUUACGUAACCGACUUCCGAACCCAAAUCUCGGUUGCGAGACCGAUUCCUUAUUCUCUUUUAAGCACUUCUCGUGCGUGUCUCUUUUCUGAGGGUUUUAUCGACUAUUUUCCCUCUCCUCUCCGAUAGAGGUAAACUAAAUAAAAUUCGGUGGCGACUCUUCUGACUUUGCCUCUCUUUGGCAUCUCUUUAGUCUUGGUUUCGUUAUCGUGAAAUCCCGGUAGCGACAAUAAAUACCGAAUGUAUCUUGAAUUGACAGUAAACCAGGGACAUAACUUCCAUAACAAGAUUCCCUGUUACGUUUCAAACCUUGCAGUAAUAGGUAUUUGAGACAACAUUUGUUGAUUCUUUGGAGAAAUGCCCUUCUCAGUUCCAUUUUCUUUUGCUUGUGGUAUCCCCUUUAAUAAUACUUCUGAGUUCAGCUGGCAGUGGGCAUCCAUUAAAUCAACCCUUAUUUAUAUCUGGCCAAUAUCACGGAGUAUGCUCUUCUGAGUUUGACGAUCUUUUACAACUUCAACUCUAGUUGUUAUGUAAAGUAAAGAUUGUUUCGCAAAGCCCAAACACAUCAGAGAGAAGCGGAUGGUUCGCCACCGGUAUUUCUCGAAUCAAAACUCUGGUUGAAAUGGUUCAGUAGCAUGGUUUAAUGUUUAUUGUUAAUGGAUUAGUGUGCAUUUCAUUUGGCUUGUUUGGAAACCAAAACCUGCAGGAUUGAGGUAUGCAGCAUGGCUCGAUGACGGGUCGGUUUGUGGAUAGCCACGACAUAGAACAAAAAUGGUUAACUUCUUGGUCUCUAACCACCCUUCAUGUUCAUUACAGACUCAGUGAAUUUAUGUAGAAUUGUUGCAUUUGAUGUUGUGCAGAAUUUUGAGUCAUGGCAUUGAUUGGUGAGCUGUUAUACGCGCGAUGGUUCGCGUCACCAUACGAACACGAUAAUGCCGCACUGCAAUAUUGAUUCCUUCUGCAACAAAUGCGCUUUUGCAAUUUUACACCUUCGUCUAAAAGUGUUUGGAUCAUUGAAAUUUCCAAAAAGUGAGUGCUCCCAUUGUGCUCCUUCCGAGUCAUUAACAGAUUUAACAACUUCAACCUUUGUGCCUUGCAGUUAACCCUUCAUCAAAAUGCAUCUUAGCAUGUUCCAAAUGUCUAAUGGCUUCCUCUUAUGAAGAAGAAUUUAGAAGCAACUGAAUCCAACAGAGUCUGGCAGCAACAUGGUCCUUUCUAAUUACCUGAAAGCCGUAUAAAUAAUUGAAAUGCUUGUGGGUUUCACAAUAUAGGCAUAUAUGGGCAAGGGCGAUAACAAUAUAUUGGUUGAAUGCUGCUGUUAGGGUUGGAUUCUUCAUCAUUGGUGGAGAGAAAGAUAAUAAAAUAUGGAAGGUAAAGCUUAUGAGGAAGACAUGUGCGUAUGCGUGAGAACAGGAACAUGGGAAAAGGAAUAGCAGCAGCAACAACAACCAUGCUUUGCUUGAGAUAAGAAUCCUAUGAUUUUCAUUUUGUGUGUCUGCGUGUUUGAAUGAGUCUCAUCUUUUUCUUGAUUAUUCUGCUGUAAAAUGAUCAAUAGUAUUUGGGACUCUUUUGAUGAUUUGCUCUACUAUAGACCUUGCAGUAGUUUUCACUUUAAAUUCAUUAUGUAUUUGUCUAAUAAUAACAUGCUGCAAAGUAGACAUUGAAAGUGUUUUCAAAACAUUUUUUAUGAACUUGAUUAAACAACCAAGAUAACAACUGCACAAUCAAUACUCCAACAACUCCAAUACUCGAUGAGACUAGUAGUGCUUUACUUGUUGUUCCGUUAUGUUUCUGUUGUUGACACGGUGAAAUAUUCCCCGCGAGAGCUUUAUUGCUGCAGAAAUUAUAACUAUGUGGAUCUUAUUUCUUCUCAUUUGAUUUCUGAUUCUGUGAUUGUAGAACAGUUGGCAAUAACCGAAGCAUUCAGGUCGUUAACAUCAUAACUCUGCACAUCAAGAUUCUCAUGACAUGAUGACUCUGGAGUCCUAACCGAUGUUUCUGUAUUUGAGACACUCCUUGCAAUAUCUGAAUGGUCUUCAACAUUUUCAAUUGAAAUACUUCCUAACCGAUGUUUCUGUAUUUGAGACACUCCUUGCAAUAUCUGAAUGGUCUUCAACAUUUUCAAUUGAAAUACAAUCCCCGGGAUCUGGAAAUGAUGUCACUAAAUUGUCAUCAGGUCGAACACCGGUUGUGUGGCUUAAAAGUUUUGAGCUGCAAACAUUAUUUCCUCUACUACUAUCAUCAUUUCCUAGUUUUUCUUCGUCAACAAAAGUUGAAUCGAUAGGAGAAGCUUGAAUUAAAUCUAUCAUUGUAUUUUCUGAAGUUUGAUAUUCAUGCAGAACUUGAGGUAUAUCCUCCACAGGGCUACAUUCUGUGUUUGCGGAAGUUUCUCGAUUUGCAAGACCUACUUCAUGGUGAGAACGGUUUGAAGUUAUAGAGAAAUAUGAACUGGCAGUGCUUGGAGGCUUAAUUCUUAAGUCAUGUCCACAGUCUGCAUCCAAUUUCUGGCCACUCAACUUUCUGUGCAUAUGAAACUCUGUUUGUUUAGUAGAGCUAAAAUCAGUUGAUGAUGGUGCAGAAUAACUUCCAGGUCUCAUAGAGCUUCUUAUACUGUUUAAAACUAUCUCUUGAAAGAGACAGGUCAUCAUAAGAUAUAGUUGUGGCAGUAAAAGUCUUUUCCCGAACAAUAUGUCCUUUGUUGUUGCUGGACCUUUUCAACAAAACAGAAAUGUUGGUGGCUUCCAUGGGGUCCAUGUCCAUAUCUGGGCGACCACUGUAGUGAUCCAACAACUGAUCCCCAAUUUCAUCAACUCCUGAUUGGUUCAUCUCAAGCCAGUUUGCAGGCAUAUGCUCACCUCCCUCCUUCAGUGAACUUGGAUUUGAAUUGUGAUAAAUGCAGGUCUUCUAUACAAAAAGCAAACCAAAUUGGAAUGCAUGUCCAAUGUGAGCUGAAUGCCGACACUUUCCUAGUGCAUUUGCAAGGUAUGCAUGUAUUUCUUAAAAUUUUGAGGGGAAAACUAUGAGACAUUAGGUAGAACUAUGUUCUCAUGCAUUAGGACUUUAGAAGGCACUAUAAAUAUUAUUCUUAGAAAUGUACUCCCUGAUCAUGUUGCCAAGGUUGUGCACACAUCUAAUACAACAUUCCUUUUCUUCUUUGCAGGUGUUCCUGCAACAUGUCUUCACAGGCGCGUUGAGCGAUCCGGUUCCUUGAGUAAGAAGCUCUUGGCUGCAAGUACCGCUGCAUAUUCCAAAUCUCAUGCUCUUCUCUAACGGCAUCACAACAUUAAUGCUCCACAUCUCUUUCAAUGCUCUUGCUUUCAACGUUGUUGCAACCCUUAGAGUUGUGGCAGCUACGGCGGUUAGAGUAGUGAUAUCAGCAUGAGACCUCUCAUUUGACAGCAAAACUAACAACAGAAGCAAGUGCUCUUUCUCAGUUCCUAAUGCUUCAGCAUUUGCUCACAAAAGAUCGUCGGUGUUGAAAGCUUCGAAGACUUUCUACUACAAAAGCUAAAGGUUCUUCAAGGCUAAAUUCAAACGACCCAUCACUUAAAACAAAAUGUAAUCCCCCUCUUCUUGUAAUAAAAUUCGAGUGCCAAUUUCUUUGUAAAUACGGUAUGCUUGGGGAAAACUUAUGAUUUUCUUUCCACUGUUGUUGGCAGGAACGUACAUCCUGGGAUACUCAUGACACAACAAUUAAAAUGCGAGAACAUUCUCAAGAUCAGCAAGUUGAAGCUUCUUUCCAUGCUUAGUGAAGAAAACGAGUGAAUGAAUCCAGAAAAAGAAUUUACAUUUCAAAGAAUUUAUGAAUUUUUGCAUACAUUGUAUUAUGUAAUUGAACAAAAAGCACUUAAAUUACAUAUUGUCGCAUUACGCGAAAAACCGGCGGAAAAACAAAACAACAGAGCCGCCACCGUGCGUUAUUUAUCCCAAAGGAGGGAAAGGAAACGCUCGAAGUAAACCUGGAAAAGACAUGGUCUCGCGACCAGAGGGAAAUGGGAUCGGGAGUCGGUUAUGCGAAGGGAAGGUAUUAGCACCCCUACGCAUCCGUCGUACUCGACGGGAUCCACGCACCAAAAGAAAGGAUAAGGUUGCUAGAAACUGCUCACAAACAUCACACACCGGCUGAAAGAGACACAGGAAAGACAAAAGAAACUAACUCGGCAGGAUAUCGCAUCCUGGGCCUACGUAGUCUGUCAGGCACAGACAUCAGAGUCGACGUAGUUCGGGACCAGGGGAAACGUGCUCGCUAGGAUGUCACAUCCUAUGCAUACGUAUCUUCUCUGACUGGAGAAGAAUCAGAGCACUCGUAGCUCGGCUAACCCACGUCAAACAAAACCCACACAGGAAACCGACUGCCAAUCGCUGGACUUACGUCAGACUCCACACAAACAGGCAAACAUGGAAACCGAACGCCAAUCGCUGGACUUACAUCAGACUCCGAACCAACAAACACCCACAGGAAACCAACUACCAAUCGCUGGACUUAUGUCAGACUCCGACAAGCAAACAAGACACAGGAAACCAACUGCCAAUCGCUGGACUUAUGUCAGUCUCCAAACACACACAAAGGGGUUGAAAAAGAAAAGGGCGCCCGGAGAGAUCAGCCCAUCUCCUGCCUACGUACCUCAUCUGGUAUGAGGAUCAGGGCGACGUAGUUCCCCUACGUAGGGAAAGAACUUCUAACCUAACCAGAGACUGGGAAAUGACAAACUAGAAGGGAGACUGACUCGAGCNAAUCAAAUUCCAUAAGGCAAGGCAAUCAAAACAAGCUCAAAUAGGACACCAAAUGCUACAUCAACUUAGCACAAGCCUAAAACAGAAUUGGAACAUGGUAAAGACCUCCAAUCAAAGCCAAAACAAACUUCAACAUGUCUAGAAACAAUGUGCAAAAUUUCACCUUCAUAGGAUAAAGCACAAGCAUUUCACAAAUGAUUGAAAUUCAAGACUAUCCAAAAGUGCACAAAUGACCAUCCAGAAUGAAAACUCUCAAACAAAUCAGAAAUGAAUCCAAAAAAUCCAAGAAAAUUCAUGAUCAAUCACAAUAUCCAUAAGAAGCAUCAUACAAAAAAUCACAUCAUUUGGAAUCUAUUUGGCAUGGCAAACCAAUUAAUCAAAUUGAGCAAGAAAAGGUGUGACACAUAUUGUCACACCUACAUUAACAUGAGCAUAUCUCAGCAACCACAAAUGAUAAAAAUGCAAACUCAACACCAAAAUGUCCAGCAAGAUGUCUAGUUUAAGCAUGUCAAAUUUCAUAGGCAUUUGAUUAAAACUCAUCAUUUCAUAAGAUAUAUGGAAAGCAAGGUACAAAAAAACAUGUAUGUUCACAAUCCCUAGCACCAAUUAAUUUCCAUCCGAGCACAAUUUCUGGAAAAAUAAUCAAAAAAUACUAGACACAAUAAGGAGAACAAUACAAAAAUUCCCAUGUUUUUUGGAUGAUUUAUCAUUUAUUUAUGAAUUUUUCAAGUGGAGGGAAAAAUAACAAAUUGCAUGAAAAGUAUGUAUAGAAUAUCAUGGAGGAAAAAUGAAAAAAUGAAAUGCAAUUUGAAUAAGUGUAUCAUGCUGGAAUCGAAGUGAGGUAAACAUUCAAAAUCUGGCGCCAGGUGCUAAAUGCACCGUUUCAUUUAAAAUUGCCUCAACCAAUCAUAUGCAAGCAUGGAAAGCGCAUGCACCAAUCAGAAAGCGCGCUUCUCACAAACACAUGCAAAAUUCUGGAAAUGCGCUAUAAUGGAUCAAACACACAAAUUCUGGAAAAUUCUCAUCAUCUUCAUACGAGUUCAUCGUGUUCUUCAUGCUCAAGAACAAAAGUGCAUAGAAAUUAAAAACAAUCACAUCAAUGCGUUCAUCUCUCAACAUACAUCACUAAUCCAGGCCUGGCUAAAGCUAAAUCAACAUGUAUUCAGAGAAUCGAAGCCAUACAUUUUCACACAUGAAACCCUAAUCCAUCAUAUCUAACUCAUUUCUACAUGGAAAUUCAUGGAACAAAGCUCAUUUUACUCAACAUUGAAAGAUCUACAACUAUCACCUAACAAUUUCAUGAAUUAAGGAAAUCGAUUUCUGACCUUGAUGAAGCUACAGAACUGGAGUUGAUGAUUUUAGGCUUUGUAAUGCACAAAAAGAUGCUCCAAAGUGUUUGUAUGGAUGAAUGGAUGAAGAAUGAAAGCUUAAUCGUGCUUGAUUCCACAGAAAUAUGAAACUGCCAUUGAUGAAUGCAAGCUUCGAGCUGCUUCAAAUCUGCACGAAAUCCCUUGGAUCUUGCUUCAAUCUUGCUCAAAUAUACUUCCAGNAAGUGGAGGGAAAAAUAACAAAUUGCAUGAAAAGUAUGUAUAGAAUAUCAUGGAGGAAAAAUGAAAAAAUGAAAUGCAAUUUGAAUAAGUGUAUCAUGCUGGAAUCGAAGUGAGGUAAACAUUCAAAAUCUGGCGCCAGGUGCUAAAUGCACCGUUUCAUUUAAAAUUGCCUCAGCCAAUCAUAUGCAAGCAUGGAAAGCGCAUGCACCAAUCAGAAAGCGCGCUUCUCACAAACACAUGCAAAAUUCUGGAAAUGCGCUAUAAUGGAUCAAACACACAAAUUCUGGAAAAUUCUCAUCAUCUUCAUACGAGUUCAUCGUGUUCUUCAUGCUCAAGAACAAAAGUGCAUAGAAAUUAAAAACAAUCACAUCAAUGCGUUCAUCUCUCAACAUACAUCACUAAUCCAGGCCUGGCUAAAGCUAAAUCAACAUGUAUUCAGAGAAUCGAAGCCAUACAUUUUCACACAUGAAACCCUAAUCCAUCAUAUCUAACUCAUUUCUACAUGGAAAUUCAUGGAACAAAGCUCAUUUUACUCAACAUUGAAAGAUCUACAACUAUCACCUAACAAUUUCAUGAAUUAAGGAAAUCGAUUUCUGACCUUGAUGAAGCUACAGAACUGGAGUUGAUGAUUUUAGGCUUUGUAAUGCACAAACAGAUGCUCCAAAGUGUUUGUAUGGAUGAAUGGAUGAAGAAUGAAAGCUUAAUCGUGCUUGAUUCCACAGAAAUAUGAAACUGCCAUUGAUGAAUGCAAGCUUCGAGCUGCUUCAAAUCUGCACGAAAUCCCUUGGAUCUUGCUUCAAUCUUGCUCAAAUAUACUUCCAGGUGAUGAAUGAAUCAAGGACAAAGCAAUGUGUGUGGAGAAAAUUGAAGAAAAAAGUGAGAGCAAAUUUGAAGAAACUAGAUCUAGAUCUGAAUUCUGAUUGUGUUAAUGCUGAAAUCUGUUAUGCUUAGCUAUAUAUAUGCUGUGUUAAUCAUGUUCUUAAUCACACUUAGCCAUAUGGUAAUUGGAUUAGUGAGAAUGGAGUGUUUAUUCCAAUUUGCAAUUGCACCUCUAUGCAUGAAAACCAAUGGAACAGUGCACGAGUUCAGCUUGAAUUCACUUGAAAAACCAAUUUGGAGCCAAAUGCAAGUGUUGCCAUGUUCAAACAAUGCAUUAUUUUUGAAUUUGAAAAUUCCCUCCAAAAUUCAAAUAAAAAACCAAAAAAUUAUAUGAUGAGAAUGCAUGGCAUGUGAUGCAUAAUUUGGAUAGUGUAUGUCAAGACCUGAAUGUACAAAAAAGAACCACUUCAUUUGGCCUUAUGGUUUGAAAGUUAUGCAUGUUUGAAGUUCCAUGUUCACUUGACCAUGAUUGAUCCAUAUCUUUUCAACCACACAUGAGAAAUUCAUGAUCUUGGACUUUUUGGAAAUGGGAGAGAAAGAUCUUAAACUUUCAUGUUGGACAAAAUUUCAUUUGAAGAUUUCUUGAUGAUGUAAUCUUGAGGAGAAAAUCUUUCCAUUUUUGGCAAUUUCAAAUUACAGGUCACUUACUAUUUUUGGAAAGUUUUGAUCUGACCUCAAAUUCUUCAAUGUUGAUGUUUGAAAUGUCAAAUGAGACUUGUAUGGGCAUGAAUGAGACCUCUCUAACCAUCUCCCACCUUCAAAUCCAUGGUUGAAUUGACAGUUGACUUUGGUUGACUUUCUAGGGUUUCAGAUGAAUUGAUCAUUGACUGAUGAGCUUUGAACAUCCAAUGCUUUGGCCAAAUCACUUCAAAAUGAUCCUUGAAUCAUAUGAACUCAUUGAACCAACCCUAGGGCUUUGAUUCCAUAAAAAAUGCACUUGCUUGCUUGCACAACUAAAUCUCUUGACCAGUCUUGACUGAUGACUUGAUGGACUAAUGCAAUGAACAAUGCAAUGUUAAUGACCUAAAAUGAAAAUGUAUGUACAAAUUUGAGGUGCUACACAUAUCCAACAGAAACUCAAAAGAGUCAAACAAACACUUCACAAGACGAGUUGAGUGAGAAACUGGAUAAUGGAUGUUGUAAAUGUUCAAGAAGAAAAGCUUCACGAGCCAAUUACUUUCUUUGAUUUGCACUAGGUUC
rnacentral:lncRNA from 1 species